GCCGGGGACCUCUAACAAUUUAUUUUUGUUUUUAUGACCAGAUCUGAGAAUAGCAGAAUUCAAUUUGAUCCAGAAAUCGAGAAGACUGCAAAAAGGUUGAGGAAAGCAACCAAGUUGCAAAAACAGGCCAAUUCGGGAGCCUCUCAACCAUCUGCCCGAUCCCCUUUGCGCACCGAAGAGACUUCAUCUUUAACACCAACCGAGCCUCCAAUUGACACAAACCAAAGAGACAAUAUGGCCGCAACUGCUGCCACUGAAGAGCAACCCCUUUGCAUCACAUACCCAAUACUGAAUGCACCUUUGAAAUUACGAACAUGUAUGAUUCAUAUGUUACCAAAAUUUCAAGGCUUGGAGAAUGAAGACCCUCAUCGUCAUUUAAAGGAGUUUUAUGUGGUUUGUUCAAGUAUGAGGUAUAACUGACGAACAAAUAAGGUUGGUAGCUUUCCCUUUCACUUUAAUUGAAUCUGCUAAGGAUUGGCUCUACUAUUUGCCCCCAGGUUCAAUCACCACUUGGGUGCAAAUUAGAGACUUAUUCUUAGAAAGAUUUUUCCCAGCGACCAAAGCAUCAUCAAUAAGAAAGGAAAUAGGUGGAAUUAAACAAAGAAAAAAUGAAACUUUACAUGAAUAUUGGGAAAGGUAUAAGAAACUAAUUGCAAGUUGUCCAAAACAUGGAAUCACUCCAAAACAGCUUAACCUUCAUUUCUACGAAAGACUUUUUCCAUUAGAACGAAGGAUGAUUGAUGCUGCUAGUGGAGGUGCCAUUUCAGAAAUGGAACCUGAAGAAGGUAAAACCUUAAUCUCUAAAAUGGCCGCCAAUUCUAGACAAUAUGGCUAAGAAGAGGACAUUCCAAGAAAUGCCAAUGAAGUAAGUAUUGCAUCUUUAGAUUCUAAAAUCUCACAACUAACGGCUGCAAUUCAACAAUUGGCUGCAGGGAAUAAUGUACGAACUUGUGGCAUUUGCAAACAAGCAGAUCACCCCAUAAAUAUGUGUCCUAUCCUUCAAGAAGGAGAGCAGCAGGUAAACGCCAUUGGAGGGUUCAAUGGACAAUAAUACAAUGGACAACAAAGGAAGUAUGACCUAUUUUCAAGCACUUACAAUCCAGGGUGGAGAGAUCAUCCAAACCUUAGCUAUGGGAAUAGACAACAGAACUUCCAGCCAAUAGCAAACUAUCAAACUGCAAAAUCAGGUAUGUCUCUAGAAGAUAUUGUUCAAUCCCUUGCUAAUAGCACUCUUGCUUUUCAACAGGAAACGAAGUAAAGCAUUCAAAAUUUGGAGAAUCAAAUGAGCCAACUUGCUACAUCAGUAAGCAAGCUGGAAUCACAAGGGAAACUGCCUUCCCAAACCGUGCCAAAUCCAAAACAGAACGUAAGUGCAAUUAUGCUGCGAAGUGGGAAGGAGUUAGAAUCUGCCAGCCCGAAGAAGCUUGCCCAAGGUAGUAAGGCAGACCAGAAGACAGAAGCAGAAAUAGAGAUUCUAGAAGAGAAUCAGCCUAAAAAAUAUGAGGAAGAACAAUCCCCAAUGCAGGUAAUACGUCCACCUUUUCCUGAAAGAUUUGCUCAAUCAAAAAGAGAAAAGGAAGAGAAAGAGAUCUUGGAGAUUUUUCGCAAAGUUCAGGUAAACAUACCCCUUAUUGAGACCAUAAAGCAAAUAUCCAGGUACGCGAAAUUUCUAAAAGACCUUUGCACUAAUAAGAGAAAAUUGUAUGGGUACGAAAAGAUUAAAGUAGGGGAGAAUGUAUCAGCUGUACUCCAAAGAAAAAUUGCACAAAAAUGUAAAGACAAAGGCAUGUUUGCUAUAUCAUGUGAAGUUGGAAAUCUUGAAAUCAAGAAGGCAAUGUGUGAUUUAGGAGCUUCCAUAAAUGUUAUACCUCUGUCAGUUUAUUUGUCUUUGGAUGCAGGUCCUUUGAAACAAACAGGAGUUACACUCCAACUCGCUGAUAGAUCAAUAGUUUAUCCUAAGGGCGUGUUGGAAGAUGUUUUGGUCUAAGUGGGAAUAUUAAUUUUCCCAACUGACUUUUUUGUCUUGGAUAUGGAAGAUAACAAUUCAUCCCACUCUAUAGAUUUAUUGCUAGGAAGACCAUUCCUCAGCACAACUAGAACGAAGAUCGACGUGCAUGAAGGCACGCUUUUAAUGGAGUUUGAUAGAGAAGAGGUAAAGUUUAAUAUUUAUGAUGCAAUGAAACAUUCUGAUGAUAAUUUUUCUCUUUGCAGCAUAGAUAUAGUUGAUCCUCUCGCUCAAGAAGCCUUUGAACUAAGCAAGAAAAACAAGUUGGAGGUAGUUUUAAUCGAAAACUUGACAAUGGGCUGCCUUGACAAUAGCACAUCGCAAUUCAAUGAAGAAAUCAUAGAAAUAAUCCACUCAUUGGACACUUUAAACCAUAAGGCAUCAGAACUUGAGUUAAAAUUACUUCCAGCUCAUUUGAAAUAUGUAUUUUUGGAAAGUAAUAACACAUUUUCAAUCAUAAUCUCCUCCAAGUUGAAUCCUUUAAAAGCAAUGAAGUUAAUUUGGGUGUUGAAUGAAUAUGAAGAGGGAAGUGGAUGAAACAUAACAUGCCACUGUCCAGCCUUAGACAAUAAACAAGGGCGCUGUUUGGGAGGCAACCCAAGGUUAUAGGCUUGUCCAAGCCUGUAGAGUCACAAGUAAGUUUUCCUUUUAAUUUUUAGUUUUAAAUUAAUUUACUUAUUAUUUUUGGAGCAGAUUGAACUUUUUAGGCAAUUCGGGACUUUAUGGAAUCUUUUUGGAGGUAAGUUAUUAUUUUUAAAAUUGCUCCCAAAGAAAGGUAAGUUAUGUUCUACUUCAUCUUAUUUUUUACUUAAAAAUAAAUAAAUAAAUAAAUAAAUAAAUAAAAAUAAAAAAAAAGCAAAAUAAAAAAAUAAAAAAAUAAAUAAAAGAAAAAACUAAUUCUUUCUCUCUCCUGUCAUCUUCAUCUUCUAUCUUUUUCUUUUUCUUCUUUUCUUUUCUUUCCUACAGAUGUCGUCUCCUCCCACGCCGCUCCCUCUGCCGGUCGCGAAGCCUGCACAACCUUCAUCGCCGGACACAGCGCCCCCUUCGCCAAUCGCGACGUCUUCGCUGCCGAUUGCCAGCCCAGCCACGCCUUCUUUGCCAAAUCGCGAGUCCAGCCUCAUCGGUUGCCACCUCCUCAGCGCCGACACCGCCUCCGCCGCCGUCAACCUCCUCACAGGUUGUAGCCAUGCACCAGCGUUUGCUGAUGAGAUAGAGUUAUGAUGAUGAGGAGGUGAAAUCUGAGAUGAUCCAAAAAUGCAACCCAACCACCACCGGCUUGAGCUUUAUACGACUUAUCCUCGAGGAAGUUCUCUUUGACUUACUUUUAUUUUAUUUUAUGGACAUUCCCCCGUUGAUUGAUUUUUUUUCCACAUUGAGGACAAUGUGAGGAGUAAGUGUGGGGGGAGAUAUGGUAUAGAAAUUGAAGUGUUUUUUUUGUGCUCGAUGAGAGUGAUUGAUGCUCGAUGAACAUUCUGAAAUUUUUGGAAAUUUUUAUUCUUUUUCUGUCAUUUUUCUAUUUUUUUUUCUUUGAGUUUUUUGUGUUUGAGUUAGAGGCUUGCCCAAGCCUAUAAACACUUGAUCUGUUUUUAUGAUUUUCAGUAGUUUCUCAGCACUUGCACUUUAAAUUGUUUCUCAGAUUUAAUUUUUAUGAUUUCUAGUAUUGACAUCAUUUUGUUCAAAAAGAAAUAAUAAAAAAAUAAUAAAAGAAUAAAAAAUAUUUUUUAUACAGCCCCUCUCUUAGCAUGAGAAAUUGAUAUGUCCUCUAUUAUAGAAUUUAAGUUUUUAUGUCAUUUGCAUGCUAGCUUAAAUAGAAUAAAAUCAUCAUUGUUCAUUUUGUUAGUUUUAUUUUUAAGACUUAUUUUGAAAGCUCACGAAGUAUGGUUCUUAUUUAAAUAGUUGGGUAAAAAAUGCAUGUUCUUUUAAAUGAGUUGCCUUUGUUGAGAAUAAAUUAAAGGACAUUUUCUAGACUAUAUAUUUAUGUGAAAAUCAAUGGGUGUCUUCAAAGAAAAAAAAAAGAAGAAAAAAAAUAUUAAAAAAAAAUCAGAAAUAAAUGCACUCCUAUGACCCAUUCCUCUAGUUGCUUGAUCAAUUGGUUACCAACCCGAUGGUCCAAGUAGUGCGGUACUUGGUGAUCCCUUAAGGUGAUUCCGUAUGGAGAAAUCGGUGUUUGGAGAGUAUCACCCAUUUUGGGCCGUUUAAAAAUUCGCCCAUACCAAUUAUUGGGUAAUUAUGAGUGGAGCUAGUAGCCACCUGAGCUGAAUAACCUGGGGCAAGUUGCUCAAUAACUAUUUGUUUCACGUUCACUUUAUCGGUUUCAGGCAAGAUAUAGUAGGAACUGUAAAAAUAAAUAAUAAACCCCUAAAUCUUUAAAUUUCAUUGGUCUAGUUAAGAAAUCCUAAGAUUCUAUUCUUUAAAAAGGGCAGUUUAAUAUUAUAUAACAUUUUAAUACUUUAUGUGCUUGAAAUUGAAUUGAGGACCAACUUUAUGUCUUCAGAAAUACAUUUUAAAUAUAAAACUUGUUGAAGUGAACUUUGGUGAAUUAAGCUAUUUCUGCUAUCAUCCUAUUGCAUGACAAUUUGGUUCUUGACUUUUAGAUUGGUUGAGGACAGGGCUGUAUUGUUUCAUUUUAAUUUCUGUGCUUGAGGACAAGCAAAGGUGCAAGUGUGGGGGAAUCUGAUGAGUUGCAAAACUCACAAUUUUUUCCUAAUUUAAUUCUUGAUUUUAGUAUAAUUUUGAUAUAAAUAUUUAAUUUUAAUUUGAAUUUAAUUUUGGACAGGGUUGUAAGCAAAAGUUGAAAAAAGGAAAAAAAAAAGGGCGAAAUUAAAGGAUUUUUAUACUGGAGGCUACAACCUUGACCAAACCUGUAACCCGAGGCAAUGGAGAGAUAAGAUAGAUUUUGCCACCUAAGCAAUGAUAAGAUCAGCUUCAAGUGGAGUCAAAUUGAAUCAAACUCGAUAAGAUUAGGAUAGAGAUAAGAUUAGGAUAGAGAUAAAAUUAGGAUAAUAGAUUUUAUUUUAAAUUUUAUCUUUUUAUGCCUAUAUAAAGGCCUCUAGCAUACCUCUCACCCUCAUUUCCUCUCUUGCUGCCCCUCACCUUCUUCUCCAUCUUCUUUUUUUUUUUUUCUUCUUUUUUUCUUUAGUUGUUAUAAUUUUAUUAUGGCCAUGAGUGGCUAAACAAUUUAUUUUCAGUUGAAGGUUAAAUUAAUUUGAGGUUUGUUCAAGUUGUGAGGUUAUGCACUACAACUCUCUUUAUCUUAUUUUUAUUUUCUAUUAAUUUCUGAAUUCGAGUAACACCACCUCCAUUAUUGUUUUCUUGAGAAUUCAAGGGGCCCAUUGAAUCUCUUGGGAAGAUAACAUAUUGCUAAUUAAUCUAAUUAAAUCCGUAAUUGUUUAAUUAUGUUAAUAACAAGUAGCAAUUAAUAUAUUAGUUUAUAUUAAGAAAUUAGUAGAUUUGAUUUAAAUAAAACGCGUGUUUUUAUUGAUCAAGUUUGGGUUCUUCUCUCUUAAUGCAGUUGACUAAUUAAAUCUACACGCGUGUAGGGAUUGUUAGUUAACUAGAAAUUAAUUUAAGUGCGAAGCAGAUUAAUUUAUUCAUAAAGAAUUGGUGGGAUUUGCUUGUUUGACCACUGUAACCAACCAAAGUUUUUUUAACUAUUUAUUUCUUUAAUUUCAAUUGCAUUAUUUUUUAUUUUUCUUUUAAGUUUAUUUUUAUUGGUCUGCCCAAGGCAAAACCCCUCUCCUCAAAAAAAUUCUCUUCUUCUCACUUUUUGAAUUAAACUAUUCUUUUAUUUCAAAUUGACUAUCUAAAUUAAACAAGAUUAAGGUCUCUGUGGGAUCGAUACUCACUUACCCUGUCUACAAGUUCUUGUCAAUUGAGAAAAGGGAAAGGGAAGUAAAUUUUAAAUUGACGGAUUCGGCACCCGUCAGAACCAUCCCGCAUUUUGCUGUUAAUAGCGCUCUUUCUAAAAGAAAUUAAAAACAAACUAACAGCCUCGUGCCCUCUUCUCUUUCCCUCGUUUCUUUCCUCCUCCUCUCCCUUUUCUUCUCCCUUCCCCACGGACAUCACAACGAAAACACCCACCACCUCGUUCCCUUUCGCUCUGGCCAUUUCCUUCUUAGCAACCUCCUCCAAAGUAGCCCAAUCCCCUUUACCUGAUGGUAGAUUGAGAAUACACAACCCAGCGGCAGCAACUUGCAACCAGCACCAAUUGCAAUGCCACAACCCCCACUGCCACCAAUAGCAACCCAGCCACAUCCCGCUGGCCACUCCAGCCCACUUAUGGCUGACCAUAGACCACAACACACGCGAGAUUUCCAGUUCACCCAGCCGCCGAUCAUUGCCAUCGAUCUUCCGGCCGUCCCUCACUCCUCCCUGGUCACACUGGUCGCGAUUCUGGCAACCCUCCAUCACCUAAGACCCACAUUCCUUGCUUCUUCCAUCUUGAUGUGAUUUCACCAUCUCACCGAUCCAACACUCUUCCUGUAUUUCAUAUUUUCUUUGCAUUAUUUUUCUCUCAGGUAUUCUUACUCACUCAUCCUUCUUAGGGAUGUAAACGGGUAGGGUACCCGCGAAAAUUGAACUACCCGAAUCCGAACUCGAUUAAAAAUUAAUUUAAACUAUCCGAAUCCGUUCCCAACCCGAUUAUUAUUAUCCGAAUAAAACCCGAACCCGUUUAAUCUUAUAUAUUUUAAUUAAUAAUUUAUAUAAAAAAAUAUUUUUUAUUAAUAAUUUUCAUUUAAAAAAUAUAAUAUUUCUAAAGAAUAUUUAAAUUUAAAUUUUUAAAUAAAAAUAUAUAAAGAAAUUUAUAAAUAUUAUUAUAAAAUAUAUUUUUUAUAUUAAAUUAAUUAUUUAUAUAAACGGGUUCGGAUAGUGGGUACCCUGUACAUAAAAUUCGAAUCCGAUCCGAACCCGCAACGGGUAUUAUUUUUAAAACCCGAACACAUCCCAAACCCGAUUAUAACUACCCAAAUCCGUUCUAUUAGGGUUCGGUCGGAUCGGGUACCCGAAAAUACCCGAUCCGUUGCCAUCCCUAAUCUUUCUUACUACUGCUACAGAUACAUGAUUUUGUUUAGUUUGCAUUUUUGUCAUAUUGUGAUAUUGAUGCAUUUUCUAGACCACUUGAGAUUUGAUUAUGGACACAAGUAUAUGUGUAUUAUUUGGUUAACUAGAAAAAGUGUUUCCCAAGCAUGGCUUGGGUGCUUUGCAGAUGAGAAUAAUGUGUAUUUUUGGACCUGAUUAGAUAAUGACUAUUAUAGCUAAAUAUUUGCAUGCAUGAUGCUCAGAUUGAUUGCCUUGAGAUAUGAAUAUUGUUGUUUCACGUAAAUUGUGGACAUUUUGUCUUUGCAUGAUUCGGUAAGCAUAUGUGCAUUGACUCAUUUCUACAUGCUCGAUCACUUUUUGUCGUUAUGUUGCCCAUGCUUCUAUCAUUGCUUUUAUGUUUUUCGCUUGACUUUUUCUUGAUAUUUGUUUCAUUACAUACACUUUUCACUAGAUAAUUUGCACACUAUUUAUUUGUCAAGUUUCAUAUGUUUUUCUUUCGUCUUAUAUGUCCAUUCACCCCUUUGCUCUUUUACAUUUAUCUGCUUUAUUUUAUUCUAUUUUAAUUUGUUUUUUCUCUUUAUCUGGUUCCUUUACUACAUAUUUUCCUUUGUGCAGGAGUUGAAAAUGCCCCCCCAAGCGCAGAUCUCAUGGCCACGAGGCAUCAUCUUCACGACUUUAGAGACUCUCUCAAACAGUUGCACACCCGCUCAACGCUCACAUCGUGCACCCUCUCCACCGCCUCCACCACCUCCACCAGUCUUCCCAUGGAGUUUCUGUGAUCUACAACACGAGAUAAAAUAUGAGUCUCUUUUUGUCAAACAAAUUGUCAGUACUAAAUUUGUUAAUGAGUAUACCUUGCAGAUCCUCAGUUUAGAUGCAGAUGUCGCUGAUUAUUUGCAAUGUGUCAACUGACACGUUUUGCAUACUUGGGGGCACUUACUUACUGUGAGAUUACAUUAGAGUUCCUCAGCAUCCUUACUAGCACAGUCUAUAUUUGGAUGGGGAGAGAGCACUGGAGUGGUUACCAGACAUGAGCUAUUUAUUUUAUGGGCUAUGAUGCAGAGGACGUAGCUUAGCACCGGGUUUUGGCUGUGUAACCACUUAGCACAUGUCUCGCGAUAUGAGGUGGGACGGAUAGUAGUGGGCGACCUUAUUACUACCAUUAUUGAACAUUUUGGAUUUGAUGAGACUACAUUGGGCUUCCAGUCAGUUUCAGCUAAGACAUGCAUAGACUUUGUCAUCUAUCCGUCUAUGUGCCUAUGUGCUAGAGGCCCUGUUAGUUAAUCCAAGAGACCGUGGCAAAUCAAAAUUAGCAACGAAAUAAAAUUUUGAUCUCUAGAUUACCUUCCAAGAACCAAGUGAUCCGUUUAAUUCGAAAAGAAAGAUUCGAAUUGUAACCUUUUAGAAACUUUCUUCGAAAUAUUCAGUGGACUUUAGGUGUUACUUCUCGCGAAUACUCUUCGCUGUGUAUCUACACAAAUGCUUGCCGUCUAGAGUGCUAGCUCUUGAAAAACGGUUAGAGAUUCUCUGUUUCCCUUUUUCACUCAGAAGAAGAAUUGCACACGCUUAUUCUCCAAAGAAUAAAAUGCGAGUCAUCAUCUCAAAACGUGAGUUCUUAACUCCUUACUCUUUAGAGAACAUGUAUCUAUUACGUAUGGUCUAAAAAAAAAUAGACACUGCUAUAUUUAUCCAAUUCAAAUUGGAAUUGAGAGAGAAUCGAUUGAUAUUCAAUUCAUAUAAAAUACAAAUUGGUUUGUUAAUAUUAUUAUUAUUAUCUAAUAAUAAAAAUAGUAAUAAUAAUAAUAACGAAGAUUAAUAUUAUUAUUAAUAUCAGAUUAAUAGACAUCAAGUCCAUUAAUAAUGCUUAGCUCAAUAAUGCAUUCUUUGUGUGCGACUCGACAAGUUACAUUAAUUGGCAGUAGACCUAAUCUUUAUUAAAGUUUAUAAGUUAUAAAUAGCCUCUAGCAAAACAUUAUAACUAUCUAAUUAAUAUGAGGAUUAAUUGUCCAAUUAAAGUCUUAUAACAGAACAUGCAUUAAUUCAUUUGUCACAUAAUAUCUAGUUUGAAUAUAAGUCAUGUACAGUGUCAUACUUAUAUUGUUCAAACUUAUUAUUACUCGAUCUCUAAGUAGAUUGAUGAAAUUAAAUUUUAUUAAUCACACUAUAAAUUCAUUUGAGUAUGACCAUGCAUUUCUCAGUCUGACUUAUCAAAGGGCCCAAAAGAUAUCUCUAUCAGAAAGAGGGAUAAAUUCUAUCUUGAUUGUUCAAUAUCCUCUAUAUAAUUUCUAUCAUGCUCGAUCAUAACCUUUAUGAUUAUUUGAAUAAAAACAACAUUUAAUUAUGUCAAAAUAUAGUAGUCCUUAUGUUGGAAACUAUGACAAUCUCAAGUUUAAAGAUUAAUUCCUAACUAUUAUGAGAUUCACCAAUGACACUAGUCCAUGUUAGUGAUCUCAGUGUGGGUCUAUCCAAUGCUUUGUUCUCUAACAGGCAUCUAGGAUAUUGAUUUGCAUCACCAUAUACAUAAUUAUCUCAUGAUCAUCAAUCAAUAUGCACACUAAUUAUAUAUAUUAUUGUCUCUAUAAUAAUAAAAACCAGGGAUGUAAAUUAUUAUUAUGUAACAUGCAAACAAAUAAUAAUGAUGACAAAAAUCUCUUUAUUAAUAACAAAAUGAGUAACAUAAAAGUCCAAAUUAAUAGCCUAGAGUACAUACACUAACAGGCCCUGACAGAGUAUUCCACUUGCUUGAUCCAGAGGAUUAGCCUCUACUUAGGCAAAAACAUGCAGCUGUAUAUCCACUUGGUAACCCUAUUGCUUAGUUGUCGCACCACCUAUCGAGUCUCGUCUACCUUCUACAUCCAUCGCUGCUGAUCCAGUUCCACAACCAUCAUACUUCAUUCCACCAGUUGCUAAGCCAUCUACUACACCACUCACCUUAGAGAUGCUAAUGCAACACCUAGAUAGACACUUCGAUCAACUCAAGCUAUAGAUUGCUAUUGAUCAGAGGUAGACCCGUACUAACAUCGAGUGGCUUGAGCAAAGAGUUUAGACGCUAGAGGAAGACUGUGCCACUCAUUUUGCUACUAUUGAGGAUAGGCUGUGGGACACCAAAUCCAAUCAUUGAUAGGAGUUUUCUUAACCUUACUUCGCCUUUUGCUUAUUAUUCUAUAUUUUGUUUCUUUUCUUUAUUUUCUUUUAUUGUUUUUUUUAUCUCCUUGCCUGUAUAUAAUAUUAUCCACUCUUUUGACUCUUCUACAUUAGUAUGCUACACCUCAGUUCUCGAUGUCAAAUGGAUAGUCAAACAUUAAGGACAAUGUUUAUUCUAGGUUGGGGGAUCUCAUAUAUGAAAAAGAAUUUAAAAAAUAUAUAUAUAUAUAAAGAGAGCAAUAUCAUAAACUUUGUGAAAUCUGAGCUUUCUUAAUGUGAGUGUUAAAUUAUAUCUUCUUCUCGCAAUCACUAUAAUUGUGCAUUCUUGUUUAGUUUAUUUCAUUUAUUGCUUUUAAUUAUGUAUCCACACGUAGAUUAUAUAGCAUCUAGCAUGUACUAAUUAAUAUGUAUGUAUACACUUGACAUGUAGACUACCUCACCAGUCCUAAGUCAGAUUCAAUAAAAGUAAAAUAAUCAGUGCUCACAUUUAGAGAGAAAUGAUAUAUGCAUUAUUUGUUUUGACCAUUAAACCUUAGCCAUCCUUUUUUAGUUAUUCUUUAUUUACUAUUUUGAAACUUUAUCAUUUAGCAUAUUUUCCUUUCUCCUUAAGACCUACCAAAAACCCACCUUUUAAAUGGAAGUUGAAUACCUGCAAAAAAAAAAAAAAAAAAGUAACUUUCUACUCCAAUAUUUUGAGUUGCUUAGUAACUAGGAGUAUGCAUAAGUCUCAUGUGUACUUUUACGUCAAACAGUAGCUCAAGCUAAGUAUGUAAAGCACUUUGAAUAGUUUUAUCUAUUGAGUAACAUGGUACUAGCAUCGCAAAUGUGAGUAUUUGCGUAAAAAGACAAAUGUCAACUCAAAAAAGAUGUUACAAAAUAAAUAAAUAUUUAAGUCAUGUGUCUGACUUCCAUUCAAUUUUAUUGUCUAUUGUCUUUCUUUCUAUAGCUUAAUCUUACCAUAUAUCCAUCUUUAUCCCAUGUGAAGUCCUCUUGAUCUCUUUAUUUGUGAGUACCAUAAUAAUAAAAAAGUGAUGAAUUUGCUUAGGACUGGAGAAUAAGAAAAAGCUUGAGCUAUAGAUUUGAGGUGAUUAAGAUGCGAAUAAAUACAUGUCUCUCUUUGAUUACAUGAUACAUACUAUGUGAUUUAAUUAUGAAUAUCUAAUUACAAGUAAAUAUUUGAAUUCUACUAAACAUUAAUGCAUGAAUAAGUUUUAUUGAGCUAUUAUUUAAAAUUAUAUUUUUUUAUUGAGUUUGACAUAAUUAUUGAGAUAAGUUGGGUUGCACUCUAUUUAUCAUACUAUUAACAUUUGACAUAAUUAUUGAGAUAAAGUUGGGUUGCACUCUAUUUAUCAUACUAUUAACAAAUUAAUACUCCUAUUUAUUUUUCUCUAUUUUUUUUUGCUUGAAGACAAGCAAAAAAUCUAGGUUUGGGGGUAUUUGAUGUGGUGAAAUUUUAUAUAAUUAUUCAUAUAAUUUUUAGACCCACAUCCUUUAAAUUUAAUUAUUUUUAUUCUUGUUGAAUUUUUAUGUUUAAUUUUAGGAUUUUUAGUUUUAGUCUAUUAUUUGAUGUUUUCACUUAAUGUUUAGUAUUUUUAUAGACCAAAACAAGUUAAGAAAUGGAGGAGAAACUUUGGAGAGAAACUCAAAGAAGUUUGGAGAGAUUUUUUAAGAAAUUUACAAAAACAUGGGGCAUCAUGUCCUGUGUUUUUAUCUUUUCAUAGUAUUUUGGUCCGCUCCUCGUGUUUCUCUCUAGAAAAAAAUUUGAAGGGGUAUAAAAUAUCAUAAUUAAGAGACGGACACGAAGAACUCAAGCAGGAAGAUUUAAAAAAUCUAGAAGGAAAAAUCCAUAUAUCUAGAGUUUUUCUUUCUCCUCUUAUUUUUUUGAUUUGUGUUCACAAUUAUUUUAGGAUGAUUUUAGAUAAUUUCUCAAUAGAGUUUAUUGUUGAAUUCUUGAAUAUGAGCAACUAAAUUUCUUUGCUUGGGGACUUGAUGUAAUUUGGAUUAUUGAUUCUCUUUAAUUUAGUUGAGUUGAUUUUCUUUACAAUCUAUUAUUCAAUUCUUGAGAUUAAUAUUUUUGAAUAACUAUGGGAUGCUUGAAUGGUUUUAUUCUGAGAUUAAUACCGGAAGGGAACGUUUUAUGACUGAAUUGAAAAUUAAAUAUCACAUGAUUAUUAAUUGGAUUGGAAAUGAAGAUUUGACCUGUGGAGUCUCUGAAAAAAUAAUCAUAGUAUUUGUGAAAUUAAUUAGAGAAGUAUCAGAUUAUUAGGAGAUAGAUGAUAAUAUUUAGUUAAUUAAUUUAUUCUUCUUAGGAGAGAUGAUCAAUUAUUAACCAAAUGAACUAAUUAAGUCUAAGUGAAAUCAAUAUACUCUAGUACUUGCACUCACAGGUUUACCCUGGUAGUAAGUGUAUCUGAGUAAAUCUGAGAGGUCUCAGGUUCUACUCUCCCAAUUCCCAAUUCCCAUUUAAAAAAAAAAAAAAUACUCUAGUACUUAAUUUUAAUUGUUUCACGAAUUCUACUUUGUUGAGUGUUUAAUUUUAUUUUCUUAUUUUAUUUCAAGUUUACAAUCAUCCUUUAUAAUGGUAGUCUAAAUAAUAAUUAGAUUAUAUGCUUGGACAUAACGCCAGCCUGUCACGCGGAAUUUUAAGAAGGGAGAUGUCCUUAUCUUUCCUCUCAGACCAAAUUAUCUUCAUUCUUUCUCUUUUUUUUUUUUUUUUUUUGUUCUUCUUCUUCUUCUUCUUCUUCUUUUUCUUCUUCUUCUUCUUCUUCUUCGCUUCUUCUUUUUUAGGGAGGAGGAGAAGGAGGGACUAUUUCGUUGACAGAGAGAAAAGAUAAGGACAUUUUAAUAAGGUUCUGAAAAUGUAGAAACUUACUUGUUAAUAAUGGCAAUAUCCGAGACUAAAUAAGUGGUUUAUUGAGGGCAAAAUUAGGUUCUAAAAUUUUUCUCUCUCAUUCUUCAUCUAUUUUUUAUAAAAAAAAAGGACAAAAAGGACUAUUUUGUUAAUGGAAAAAAAAUAUAAAAACGUUUUAAUAUAUUUCUCAAAAUAUAGAGUCUAAUUUGUUAAUAAUGAAAAUAACCAGAAACUAAGUAAUAAAUCUUCUUUUCAAUAAUUAUUUCCAUUUUCUUUUAAUAUAUAGUUUUUGUACUCACUGGGACUAACCAUCUCAUUCCUUUUUAUGUCCAUCUCUUCAGAGUGAAAGAAACAACCAAUAAAUUUUAACAAUUUAGCUCCAAAGUUUGAUGCAUCACUUUUACUAAUGAGAUAUAAUUUUUGGUGGAGCUAGUUAUUUUGGAUGUGUAUUAUUUUUUACUCUCCCUCAACACCUUUCAAUUUGUGGUGCAUUUGAAUUUCCUUUUUUUUUCCUUUUUAUUUUUUAGAAUACUUCAUUUAAGAUGUUAAUGGAAAGUAAAACAUAAUUAUUAUUCUUUAUGCAUAAUUAUUAAAUUCAAAGAGGAUAUAGUGUGAUAAAUUUAUCACUUGUGAUAGUCAAAUUUAAAUUUAAACAGGAAAUUUAGAGAUUAGUUUUUCAGAAGUGAAAGCUUACAGUUAUGUAUUAAGUAUGACUAAAAAUAUAUAUUUUCAGUGAAUAAGAUCCCUUCCAAAUCGUUUCUUCUUUUCCUCUUCUUACUAUUUCACGUUUUCUAUCUUGGUAUCAGGUUCGCUUCUGUUCAUCAAUGUCUCUUUCAUUGAAUGUUUGAAAUUUUGUUACGCUUAAACUCUCUCAAACUAAUUACCCAUUGUGGAGAGGACAAGUGUUGGGUUUGAUUAAAAGCAGGGGCGGAGGGAGGGUACCGCAAGGGAGGCACGUGCCGUACCGGCGACCGAAAAAUGCUUUGAAGGGGGAUGAAGGUGCCGCAGCGGCGUAGCCGGUGGUGCCGCAGUGCAGUUGCAGCUGGUGGUGCCCUACCAAAGGGAAGCUCCUGGCUCCACUGAUUAAAAGUCAAGACUUAACUGAUCACCUUAUGAGUGAAUCUUCAGCUCCACAACAAUUCGUUACUCCAUGCUCACCUAUUACAGACAAUUACGUACCACAGCUUACAACAGAUUUCAUAGCUUGGCAAAAGUUCGUUCUCUCUGGGGCUGGAUUGUUGGAACUCUCUUUGAAGAGUCACUUAGACUCAUCAUUGGACUAAACAUUGCUUAUGUCAUAUGGUCUACUUUCUAGGAUGCUUACGCAUGAGAUUCUCAAAAGAGAGAAUUUACACUGUGUAAAUAGUUGAGUUAUUUGCGAAAAGAUGAGAAUAAAACCAUAGCAGAAUAUAUACACAUUUUCAAAGGGUUGUGUGGUAGUCUAGCAAAAAUCAGAAAAUUUGUUCCAGACAAAGAGAAGGUGUUUUGUUUUCUUACGAGUCUAGGACCUCAGUUUGAAACCUUCACAACAACCAUGUUAAAACCUCCAAGGCCAUCAUAUGCAGAGUUGAUAUCGCAACUCCAAAACUUGAAUCAACGAUGGAGUUGGUUCACAAGUCAAAUCGAAUCACUAUCUCAAUUAUCUUCAUAUUUGGCCUUUUACAGUCAACAAUAGAAGCAAUCUGCUUCCAACUGAAACAACACCUUCAAUCACUCAGGUUGCGGUUCCUGGCACAACAAUCGCGAAAUCAAAUCAAUUCAAGUCAAAACAAUUUGUUUGGCUCUGGUUCUCAAUGUCGACCACCACCACCAAGUCAAUGGCGAAUAACAACUGUUGAAUGUGACUUAUAUCGAAAUGAAGUCUAUCAAAUAUGUGGAAAAACAGGACAUAUUGCAUAGAUAUGGUGGUGGUUGUCAAAGUACUUGAAGCAGCGCGAAGACAUAUCACAAGCCCUUGCAGCGCUUUACUUUGGAUAAUACUAUUUCAAAUACGAACUUGAUUGCAGACACAGGGGAGUCAAAUCACAUAACAGGUAAGAAACAUAUAUUAGGUAAUAUUGAUAAUUAUUAUGAUUAUGAUUCUAUAGUUAUUGGAGAUGGUUCUUAUUUGUCUAUAGAUGGAAUAGAUAAUACUUGCAUUAAUUAGAAAAAUUAAGUUACCACUUUCACUUUCAGGUGUGUUAGUUAUUCAAACAAAAUUUACUUUCGAUUGGUCAAUUAAUUGAUUGUUAUCUUGUGAAUUAUUAAUUUUCUAAAAUUUUGUAAAGAAACGGAAAACGGGCAAGUUCUUCGCAGGGUCAAGGAGGUGUAAUUUAUAUAUUUUGUCUAAUACACCAGCAGCUUACUUUUCUAGCUGUUUUAAGUCUGGUACUACGGACAUUUGGCAUCAACGAUUAGGUCAUCCUCAAGCUUCAGCUAUUUCCAUCUUAAGUAAUAAAAAGCUAAUUGUUGUUAGGAGUUCAUUGAAAUCUAAACAGUUGUGUGAUAGUUGUCAGUUAGGCAAAUUAAGUAAAUUUCCACUUUGUUCUUCAAAACAUUCUAGUUUAGUUACUUUUGAUAAAAUUCAUUGCGAUUUAUGGAGCCUUGCUUUUGUUUUGUCUAUUGGAAAAUUUAAAUUCUAUACUUGUCUAGUUGAUGAUUUUUCUAAGUUUACUUGGAUUAUUCCAUUAAAGUAUAAAUAUAAUUUUUUUUUUUAUGGCUUACUUAGCUUUUGAAAAAUAUGUUGAUAGACAAUUUGGUAAAAAAAUUGAAGUGUUCCACUCUAAUGGAGGGGAUGAAUUCAUUGACUUUAAGUUAUCUUUCAUGUACCUAUACUUCAGAACAAACUGGAAUGGUUGAGAGGUGACAUCGUAUAAUUCAUGAGUUAGGAAUGAUGAUGAUAUUUUAUAGUCAUGUGUCGUUGUGUUUAUGGAUUGAAGCUUUUAGUUUUCUUCUUAAUAGGUUGUCAUCUUCAUCUAUUGCUUUUGACAUGCCAUGUUCUAAGAUAUAUAAAACUCAUUCUGAUUAUAAUUUAUUACGUGUUUUUGGAUCAAAAUGUUUUCCUUAUGUUUGGGAUAGUCGAACCAAUAAAUUUAAUCUCAAAACUUAUUUAUGCAUGUUUGUUGGAUGUAAUGAGAUAUAUAAAGGUGCCUGUUUUGAUGAAACAUCAUUUCCAUUUAAAUUAAAUUCUGAUUUGUCAAGUCAUUCUCAUGCUAAUUUAGGUCUUUAAUUCUUGGUUACCUUCGAUUGUUGAAAACGCUGCUACAAGUGCGCAGGUCAAGAACAACGGUCUUUGUUACCAUUUAUUCCUUUGCCGUCUAACUUUAAUUUGUAGGAAGCUACUAUUAACACUAUUAGACAGGGACUAGAAAAUGUUGACGCAAAUGUUGAUGAUAAUGUUGCAGCAUAAAAUGUUGCCGAAAACCAAGAUGAAAAUGUUGGUGAACUCGUUGGAAUUUAGGUAGCAGCAUCUUUAAAAUUGGGACAGCAAUAUCUGAUUGUGUGUUGGGUUUUUUACCACAUACAACUGCUGCUGCUGGUCUUGAACAAGACCCGAUAGAAACUGGAGUUGAUUUAGGUGAGUCUUUUUGUAUGGGUGCUGCUACUAAUUCUACUCCAUCAUCUUUUGUGUUUGCAGGUUCGAAUGUGCCACAUUCCACAGCUUCAUCAGAACCAUCAAGUCAUUGUAUGGUCACUAGGUCUCAAUUGGGUGUGUUUAAACUAAAUCUCAAAUAUGUCUUGGUUGUUCAGGUGUCCACAACCAUACCCAGUGAAUCCAAGUUUGUUAAGUUAGUGUUAGCUCAUCCGGGAUUGAAGGCUGCCAUGGUAGAAAAACUUAAUGCUUUACAUAAAAAUAAUACUUGGAGGUUAGUUGCACUUCCAGUUUGAAUGUUACAGGGUCUAAAUAGAUUUUCAAAGCAAAACUUAAGCCUGAUGGGUCACUAGAUUGGCUAAAAGCUCGUUUAGUUGAUAAAAGCUAUACUAAAAUAUUUCAAUUAAGUACAAAUAAAUAACUUAAUUAAAUGAGUUAUGUGAACAAAAUUAAAAAAUGUAGUGAAUUAUGAGGGCAAAAUUAAUAAAUUUUAUGGCAAUACUAAAAUAUUUCAAUUAUAUGUAAAAAAUUUCAAAGGGGAAGGGCAAAUGCCCCCAUUGCCUCCAUGUUGUAUCCGCCCAUGUUUGGUUGGUAUUUUUCUUGUUACCAUAAUAUAUUGGAUGUUGAAUAAUAGAAUGCUUCUUGUUUCACUUCCUGUUUCUGUAGCUGCUCUUAAGAUCUCCUAAGCAGAUUCUGUAAUCUGUAUCUAAUUGGUUUUAAGUUUGGAAUCUAAUACCUUUGUUACACUUUAACCCACACUUUGUAGUUCAAUGAUUUUGAACUUCAUAUCCUUGUUCUUGUUGGCAUAUGUCUGGAAGGCUUUUAUUAUAUUAAGCAAGGACAUGGGCUUAUGUACCUGUAAUAUAAAUAGCAGCACCAACAGUUCAGCUAUUAUGAACUAGGUACCAAAUAUUUACUUAGAUCUUUAAACAUAACUUGCAUGAAAAGCUUGCUUCUCAACUAACUGCUUUUUAUAUUUAAGCAUAGCAAACUUUUGUUUCACACCCAGAUGAAAAUCUAAAAUAUUUUAGCUUCCUUUAAGCUUAUUUCAAUGUCCAAUUCAUGCAGUGCACUUAAAUCAUAUAUAGCGUUCUCUUUGAUUCAUAACAAGGCAACCAAGCUCAUUAGUGUCUCUUCUGGGCCCUGCAAGUUUAUUGGUGUCUGUUUCUGGAAGAGAGAAUGGGGAGUGGAGAGAUUGUACACGCAGGUUCAGCCCUGGCAAGGCUACAAUUCUGGCUCUUGGCAAGGCAUUCCCUCACCAGCUUGUGAUGCAGGAGUUUCUGGUUGAUGGUAUUUCAAGAACACCAAUUGUGAUGAUCCAGAACUUAAGCAGAAAUUAGCCAGACUCUGUACCCCUUCUAAAUUUUCUUUUCUGUAGUGUUUUUGCAUCCCUUCUUAAUUAAUAAAUGCAUGCAUGCAUAUAUUGGUCUGUAUACUCUUCAGACCAAAUUAACUUUACUGUUCCCUCUAUGGUUCUUACAGGAAAGACAACAACUGUCAAAACAAGGUAUGUAGUAAUGUUAGAUGAAAUAUUGAAGGAAUACCCUAAACUCGCCAUUGAAGGCUUCUAUUAGUUUAUUGCUUAUGUUACUUUAAACUCACGUGCUUGUCAUGUGUUCUUAUUUAUUUAUUUUUUAAUUGCUUUAAUUAUCUCAGAUAUAGUCUUUAGGGAUCUGAAGAUUUUUUUUUUCCCCUUCGUGCUUUCAAGCACUACUUUAGUUGUUGAUUUUAGUUGCGUCAAUUUCUGCUUUUCAGUUCAAUUCAUCACUAUAAAUGUAAAGGAAGAGUUCAUGAAUAAAUGGAUCCUUUACAACAAUCUUUCUCUUCUUCUUUCUGUUUGCAAUUAUUCAAUAUCCUUUUCUUAUAAUUUUUUGUCUUUGUUCUGUGUUUUCAAUUGUUAAACUAACAAUUGGUAUCAGAGCCCUGUUCUUGAAGGGACUUGUGAGAUGGAACCCGAGGGGAGUUUUCCAAAAGCUCCGAUCAUCUUUGACGGAGAAAAUUAUGAAAUUUGGGCAAUUAGAAUGGAAGCCCACUUGGAUGCUCUUGAUCUUUGGAAAGCCGUGGAAGAGGAUUAUGAAGUUGCUCCGCUGCCUGCAAAUCCGACCGUGGCCCAGAUAAAAAACCACAAGGAAAAGAAAACCAGAAAAUCAAAGGCAAAAAAUUGUUUGUUCUCCGCUGUUUCAAACACUAUCUUCACCAGAAUUAUGUCUCUCAAAACAGCUAAGCAAGUUUGGGAUUAUNNNNNNNNNNNNNNNNNNNNNNNNNNNNNNNNNNNNNNNNNNNNNNNNNNNNNNNNNNNNNNNNNNNNNNNNNNNNNNNNNNNNNNNNNNNNNNNNNNNNNNNNNNNNNNNNNNNNNNNNNNNNNNNNNNNNNNNNNNNNNNNNNNNNNNNNNNNNNNNNNNNNNNNNNNNNNNNNNNNNNNNNNNNNNNNNNNNNNNNNNNNNNNNNNNNNNNNNNNNNNNNNNNNNNNNNNNNNNNNNNNNNNNNNNNNNNNNNNNNNNNNNNNNNNNNNNNNNNNNNNNNNNNNNNNNNNNNNNNNNNNNNNNNNNNNNNNNNNNNNNNNNNNNNNNNNNNNNNNNNNNNNNNNNNNNNNNNNNNNNNNNNNNNNNNNNNNNNNNNNNNNNNNNNNNNNNNNNNNNNNNNNNNNNNNNNNNNNNNNNNNNNNNNNNNNNNNNNNNNNNNNNNNNNNNNNNNNNNNNNNNNNNNNNNNNNNNNNNNNNNNNNNNNNNNNNNNNNNNNNNNNNNNNNNNNNNNNNNNNNNNNNNNNNNNNNNNNNNNNNNNNNNNNNNNNNNNNNNNNNNNNNNNNNNNNNNNNNNNNNNNNNNNNNNNNNNNNNNNNNNNNNNNNNNNNNNNNNNNNNNNNNNNNNNNNNNNNNNNNNNNNNNNNNNNNNNNNNNNNNNNNNNNNNNNNNNNNNNNNNNNNNNNNNNNNNNNNNNNNNNNNNNNNNNNNNNNNNNNNNNNNNNNNNNNNNNNNNNNNNNNNNNNNNNNNNNNNNNNNNNNNNNNNNNNNNNNNNNNNNNNNNNNNNNNNNNNNNNNNNNNNNNNNNNNNNNNNNNNNNNNNNNNNNNNNNNNNNNNNNNNNNNNNNNNNNNNNNNNNNNNNNNNNNNNNNNNNNNNNNNNNNNNNNNNNNNNNNNNNNNNNNNNNNNNNNNNNNNNNNNNNNNNNNNNNNNNNNNNNNNNNNNNNNNNNNNNNNNNNNNNNNNNNNNNNNNNNNNNNNNNNNNNNNNNNNNNNNNNNNNNNNNNNNNNNNNNNNNNNNNNNNNNNNNNNNNNNNNNNNNNNNNNNNNNNNNNNNNNNNNNNNNNNNNNNNNNNNNNNNNNNNNNNNNNNNNNNNNNNNNNNNNNNNNNNNNNNNNNNNNNNNNNNNNNNNNNNNNNNNNNNNNNNNNNNNNNNNNNNNNNNNNNNNNNNNNNNNNNNNNNNNNNNNNNNNNNNNNNNNNNNNNNNNNNNNNNNNNNNNNNNNNNNNNNNNNNNNNNNNNNNNNNNNNNNNNNNNNNNNNNNNNNNNNNNNNNNNNNNNNNNNNNNNNNNNNNNNNNNNNNNNNNNNNNNNNNNNNNNNNNNNNNNNNNNNNNNNNNNNNNNNNNNNNNNNNNNNNNNNNNNNNNNNNNNNNNNNNNNNNNNNNNNNNNNNNNNNNNNNNNNNNNNNNNNNNNNNNNNNNNNNNNNNNNNNNNNNNNNNNNNNNNNNNNNNNNNNNNNNNNNNNNNNNNNNNNNNNNNNNNNNNNNNNNNNNNNNNNNNNNNNNNNNNNNNNNNNNNNNNNNNNNNNNNNNNNNNNAACAUCAAUUUACUGCUCCCUAUACACCUCAACAAAAUGGGGUCAGUGAAAGGAGGAACAGAUAUGUGAUGGAGAUGGUGAGAUGUAUGUUGCAUGAAAAGAACUUGCCUAAGAGUUUUUGGGCAGAAGCUGCCAACACAGCUGUGUUUCUCCAAAAUCGACUCCCAAGCAAAGCAUUGAAGGAUUAAACACCAUUUGAGGCCUGGUAUGGUUUUAAACCUUCAUUAAAAUUUCUGAAAGUAUUUGGUAGUGUCUGUUUUGUCUAUGUUCCACAAAAUAAGCGUGACAAACUAGACAAGAAAGCUAUUCCUGGUAUCUUUGUCGGUUAUAGCUUAGUAUCCAAGGCUUAUAAAGUUUAUCAUCCACAAACUGGAAAGAUGACUAUUACCAGAGAUGUUCACUUUAAUGAAGAGAAGCAAUGGGAUUGGAAUGACUCAUCAAAACUUCUACAUGGGCUUAGUCUUCCUGAAGAGCAAUCAAAAGACAACUUGCUGGAAGAAAAUCUUGAUGAUUUACCAGUUAGAGGAACCAGGUCACUUUCUGAAAUCUACCAAAGAUGUAAUAUGGCAGUUUAUGAACCAGCUGGACAUGAAGAAGCUCUUGGAGAUCCGAAAUGGAAAAAAGCAAUGGAGGAGGAGAUGUCGAUGAUUCAAAAAAACAAAAAAUGGGUGUUAGUUGACAAACCUGCUGACAGAAAAAUUAUAGGAGUGAAGUGGGUGUUCAGAAUAAAAUUAAAUGCAGAUAGCACCAUCAACAAACACAAGGCGAGACUUGUGGUUAAGGGUUAUGCACAGAUUUUUGGUGUUGAUUACUCAGACACCUUUGCUCCUGUGGCUCGAUUGGACACAAUCAGAAUGCUUCUAGCUAUUUCUGCUCAAAAAGGCUGGAAAGUAUUUCAAUUAGAUGUCAAAUCUGCAUUUUUGAAUGGUGUUUUGCAAGAAGAAAUAUAUGUGGAGCAGCCUGCUGGUUUUGUUGUUCAAGGUGAAGAAGAUAAAGUCUACUUGCUCAAAAAGGCUCUUUAUGGCUUGAAACAGGCACCCAGGGCCUGGUAUAGCAAAAUUGAUAACUAUUUGCAAAGCUUAGGCUUUAAAAAGAGCUUAUCGGAGGCAACUCUUUAUGUUAAACAUAAAGAGAACAAUGUUCUUAUAGUCUCUCUUUAUGUUGAUGAUAUAUUGGUGACAGGAAAUAAUGAUCUGCUGGUUGAAAAAUUCAAGCAAGAAAUGGAGCACGUUUUUGAAAUGACGGAUCUUGGACUCAUGAACUAUUUUCUUGGUAUGGAGAUUACACAAGGCCAAAAUGAAGUGUUCAUUUGUCAGAAAAAAUAUGCCAAGGAAAUUCUAAAGAAAUUUCAAAUGGAAGAAUGCAAAUCAGUUGCUACACCCAUGAAUCAAAAAGAGAAGUUGAGCAAAGAAGAUGGAACUGAGAAAGUUGAUGAAGGCCACUAUAGAAGCUUGGUUGGAUGUCUUAUGUAUCUUACUGCUACACGACCUGACAUUCUAUUUGCUGUAAGUCUUUUAUCUCGUUUUAUGCAUUGUGCUAGUGAGUUACAUUUAAUUGCAGCAAAGAGAAUGUUGAGGUAUAUUAAAGGUACAAUCAAUUAUGGUGUCAAGUUUGGAAAAAGUGAAAAUUUCAGGCUAUGUGGAUUCUCAGAUAGUGACUGGGCUGGAUACGACAUGAAAAGUACAUCUGGGUAUUGUUUCAGUCUUGGUUCAGGUUUCUUCUCUUGGUGCUCAAAGAAGCAAGAGAUUGUGGCACAAUCUACUGCUGAAGCUGAGUUUAUUGCAGCAACAGCAGCAGUUAAUCAAGUUUUAUGGAUAAAGAAAAUUUUGUGUGAUCUGAAUAUGGAGCAGAAAAGUGGUGCUGAGAUUUUUGUUGAUAAUCAAGCAGCGAUUGCGAUCUCUAACAAUCCGGUCUUUCAUGGAAAAACAAAGCAUUUCAACAUCAAAUUGUUUUUUUUGAGAGAGAUACAAGAGAAUGGAGGAGCAACACUGGUUUACUGCAAAACUGAAGAUCAAAUAGCAGACCUGUUUACAAAGCCACUCCCAGUUAACAAGUUUGAGCUGCUUAGGCAGAGACUUGGAGUUUGCAGUAACGAAAGCAAGGAGGAGUAUUAGUUUAUUGCUUUUGUUACUUUAAACUCACGUGCUUGUCAUGUGUUCUUAUUUAUUUAUUUUUUAAUUGCUUUAAUUAUCUCAGAUAUAGUCUUUAGGGAUCUGAAGAUUUUUUUUUUCCCCUUCGUGCUUUCAAGCACUACUUUAGUUGUUGAUUUUAGUUGCAUCAAUUUCUGCUUUUCAGUUCAAUUCAUCACUAUAAAUGUAAAGGAAGAGUUCAUGAAUAAAUAGAUCCUUUACAACAAUCUUUCUCUUCUUCUUUCUGUUUGCAAUUAUUCAAUAUCCUUUUCUUAUAAUUUUUUGUCUUUGUUCUGUGUUUUCAAUUGUUAAACUAACAGCUUCCCUACUGUAAAGCAGCAUUUGGAUAUUUGUAAUAAUGCUGUGACACAAAUGGCUAUUGAAGCCUCACAAAUUUGCAUCAACAACUGGGGGAGGGCUAUGUCAGACAUAACUCACUUAGUCUAUGUCUCCUCAAGCGAAGUUAGGCUAUCAGGUGGUGAUCUAUAUCUUGCAAGAGCUCUUGGACUCAACCCUGGAACGCAGCGUGUCUUGCUCUACUUCAUGGGUUGCUCUGGAGGUGUAGCUGGUCUUCAUGUCGCCAAGGAUAUUGCUGAAAACAAUCUCAGGAGUCGAGUUUUGUUAGCCACUUCUAAAACUACUAUUAUUGGAUUCAAACCUCUAAGUGCAGAAAGACCAUAUGAUCUUGUCGGAGUUGCACUCUUUGGGGAUGGGGAUGGAACUGGAGCUGGAGCCAUGAUAAUAGGCACAGACCCAGUUUCAGACAUUGAACAUCCUCUCUUUGAACUACACACAGCAGUCCAGAGUUUCUUGCCUGAAACAGACAAGAUAAUUGACGGCAAGCUCAUAGAAGAGGGGAUCAGCUUCAAGCUAUCAAGAGAGCUUCCUCAUGUAAUUGAAGACAACGUUGAGGAUUUCUAUCGUAAAUUAAUGGGAAUUGCUGGAGUAACUGAAAAGGAGUACAAUGAGUUGUUUUGGGCUGUUCAUCCAGGAGAACCUGCAAUAUUGAAUAGGAUCGAAAAGCGACUUGAUUUGGUUCCAGAGAAAUUGAAUGCUAGUAGACAAGCUCUGAUGGACUAUGGCAAUGCUAGUAGUAAUACGAUUGUGUUUGUGCUUGAGUACAUGAUAGAAGAAGAGAGUUUGAAGAUGAAGAAGAAUAAUGAGAGUUGCGAAUGGGGAUUGAUACUUGCUUUUGGACCUGAAAUUACCUUAGAGGGAAUUCUUGUCAGGAAUCUCACCGUCUAAAUAUACGUUGUCAUGUCUAAAUUCUCAUGUAAUAACUUUGGCUCUCUCUAGAUGUCCUACCAGAGAAUGCCGGCACUUGAUUUCCUCAACAUAAUGCCUUCUAUAUAACUUGAUAAUACAUUUUGCUUUCUCCCUCAGACACAAACACACCCACAAGGCCACAACUCAGAUCUUAAUGGAUAUCCAACUCAAACUCUUAGCAGUAAUUGCAUCUCUAAAUUUAUAUUUAUCAAUAUUAUAUAGUAUAAUAUUGAUUGUUAAGUCUGAUUAUCAUAUGUCCAUCAGUUAACAAGACAUUAUCAUAUGUCACUAUUCCUCCAUCAUAUAUGCCCAUCACUUUGUCCAUCUCACUAUCCCUUUAUUAUCAUAUGUCUAUUAGUUAACAAGACAUUAUCAUAUGUCCAUCUCACUAUCCCUUUAUUAUCAUAUGUCCAUCUCUUUCACUAUCCUCCGUUGAAAAUCAAAAUUUUCAAUUGAUUUCUUUUUUAGUAAUUUAUUUAAAAUUCUUUAUGUAAAAUGUUAGGGAACUAAAAAUCAUAUAUUAAUUAUUAUAAUAUUAUUAAUCAUAAAAAUAGAGCUUAAACUUCUGCAUGUCGCUACCCGUACAGAUUUUUCAAAUUUCAGAGGACGCAUUUCAUAACCAAAACGAAACAUGCUGCUAAGAAAAGCUUAAACCGUAAGCGGCAGCAGUUUCACUGAAUCAGCAGAUGACAAAUUAACGAACAUUUGCGUUAACCAUGCUCCCAAAGGUGAUCUAGAUCAACCUAACCACCCCUUCAUUUAGGGGGACGACGGGGGAAGGGGCGCUCGAGAGCAAACUAGUACAGACAGAAUAAAAUGUGUGGAAUUCUAUACCAAACGCACAAGUAAUCCAACUAGAUUCAGCAUUUCAUAAGCAGAAAAAGAGUGUAUCACAAGCCAAGGGACUGGUCUACACUUCAGUAAAAGGAUCAGCAUUGCCAUUGACAAAAUAAGUAAUCCAACUAUCAAAAUUAUGUUUUCCAAAUAUCAAUCAUAUUCAUCGGAGCAGAGUUUUUGCAUCCCCAAAUUUACAAACGGCCUACUUUACUUCCAGUUGUAACAGCGAGGGGAGAAACCUGUAUGGGGAAAAAAAAUUUUGCAACAACAUUGCCUAAAAACAUUAAUCUUCAAAAGCAAUGUUGUUCAAGGAGCACACCAGGAUCUUCACUCACACAACUCCUGAGGGCAGGCGGAGAACAAGCUGUCCUCCAAACACACUGCAACCGCAAAAUCAAAAUAAUUAAUAACAAUGCCUGAAAAUUGUAAAUCGACAUCCAUUCAGUCCUUGGUUUAAAAAAAGUAUGCUCAAAAGUUUAUAUACCUUUUGAUGUAAUAAUAACAAAAGUCUGCUAAGAUGAAAGUCUGGACAAUUUCUGAGAUAAGAACCAUAGAAGGCCAUAAUCCAUACCCCAAGGCCACCAGCAAGUGCCCACGACUAUCUAAAACCUGUUCAAAGUAAAAGCAACAAUGGAUUAUUGCCAGUUAGAAUUAAACCAGGAGAAAUUUAAUUGACAAUAACAUGGAGUACCAUGGAGCCCCUUAACCAACUAGUUUAUUUACGAUAUGUGCUUGUAAAACAACCACAUACAAUUACAAUUGCAAUGAACCAAACUUCUCCUGAACUAUUUGAGGCUCGACUUGAUAAAAUUUCAGCCUAAUUUGGUUUGUUUUCUAAAUGACUAAGCUUAAGCUCAAUUUUUAGGCUUGUUUAAUUAAAAAAAAAAAAAAAAAACCCAUAGUUGAGCAUGUUGAUAUUCAAUUCAUUAAGGCAAAUGAGCUUAUUUGCUAAACAGGUUCGUGAGCCAGCUCAUGAAUGUGCUCAUUUAACCUAAAGUUAUUUCUAGUUUUUAAACUUAUUAUUUAAAACCAAAAAAUCAUUAGAGGGUUAUAAAUGGGUUGAGUUGCUUGUGAGAUACUAGGAGAUUAGGCCACAUAAACACUUGGUUUGGCUUAGCCCUUUUAGACCUAAACAAGCCAAACUUGAGCUUAUUGAUUUCCACACGAGUUCAAAGAGUUCAAAUUGAUCUCGAAAAGUUUUGACCACUAAACCCUUCAAAGCUCUACUCAUCUUGGUUCAUUUACAUCCCUACAUACAGUUUCAUGCCAGCAUCAUUUGUACCAUUGUAGCGCUAUGAAAGUUGGAUUCAGGUAUAAACCUCAAAAACAAGUACAUAUCCCUAUGUCGACUUGCCAACUCUUUGACUAGAAAACACGGGAACAUAAAUUUAGAUGCAAAUACUUGGAUAUAUUAUGUUAUAUAAAAUAAAACAAACUAAAGAACAUAAAAUUAUGUAAUAACAAUUACAGUCUACAUAGGUCAUCAAACACAACCAAAUAUAUCAUCUAAAGUACAACAAAAAAUAAUACUUUGUUGUCCAUGCUCUAACCUUAAGAGAAAAGUGUUCUAUUUAACUAUGAUUUCAUCUGUAGAGAUAUCUAUAACUCGAGUGUCUGAUUUCAUGAACAUGUGUUGAACAUAUAUUUCAUGUUGUGUCCCAUGCUGCAUCGUAUCGACAUGUGCACAACAUAGCAAAAUGAAGAGUCAAAAUAUCAAAGUUAUAAGGUAUAUGUAGAAAGAGAAAACAGGCUGCAAAAGGAGGAACUUGCUCAUCUUCUACAUGAAGUCCUUGUUAUAUUGCAAUUUACAAUACGUGGGUUCUACAAAUACUGAUAGAAUUGUUCCACAUUAUUCAAAGUGACCCACCAAAAUGACAUUGAUAUCAACAAUGGUAGCUAACUGAAAGAGCAGAUCAACAAAAUUUAGAAGCAACUACCAACAACACAAUUCUAUUUUGGUAUCCCUUCAUCAUGCAGACACAAGACCAAGACAGAAGCAACUCAAUUACAUACUAGAAGUUAUUAGUUCAGAAAAUUUCAGAAAAGCAAUUAUCAUCACCACUCCUACAAUUAAUGUUAGAUAAAGGACUCAAUCACAACACCUGAAACAAAAUUACAAAAAUAUCUCAAAAAAUAAUAUAUAAAGAUUCAGUUCUGCAAGAACAAACCUGGAGAACCCAAUGGGCACAACUCAAGAACCUUGCAACACCCAAUGCAAAUACAUAAUGUGCAGUGAAUGGUUCAACUAUCUGAAAGGACAAAAACAAGAUGAGUUUCAAUUUGAAAACAUUCUAAACAUAAAUCCUUUGCAACAGUACCUUUGUAUUCUGCAUGACCCGCAGCUGUGGUAGUACUGAGACAGCUUCCAGGUAUACACAGAAUGCCCAUAAAAUCCUGUUCAAUAGAUUAUGAGAUGUUGAUGGAUGAAUAAACAAUGCUAGAAUAGCACAGGGUAACGCCUGCAUCCAAAUUCAAGAACAAGGAUCUGGAUUAAAAUAUAAUAUCAGAAAUAGAACAUCAUUCCAUCACGAGAAAAGGUGCUAGACAUGAAAGGACUCGGACAAGAAACCACAGAUUGGUACUCACCACAUAAUAUAUUGCAAAGUUAUCUUUGUCCUCCAUAUAACUAGCCCUCAAUUUGAAACGGAUCAUAUAAAUAACCCACAGAGUCGUUGCCAAUGUAGCCAAAUCAAGUAAGGUAUGUAUAUCAUAUUCCAUCACAAAGCUGCAAUACAACCUGACAGCUAAAAACAUAGCUGUCAAUUCCUGGGACUUCAGUGAUAGUCCUACAAAGCAUUCAAAGGAUGAUUAAAACAGAGCUGAAAUGAGUCAAUAUAAUAAAUUAAAUAAAGAACUAGGAAACCAUUAUUUAUCAAUUAGCAGAUAACUGAAGCUUCAAAUUCGUAUUUUGUUUUGUUAGUUUGCUUGAAUUUUACAAGAAGACCGCAAACAAGCAAAUACCCAUUUUAAGCUACACAAAAUUGGCUAGAACUAGAAGGAGCAUUUACUAAAACAAAAUCCAAUGAGACUAGGCUCCACCAUUGAAAACUGACCUUUGCUCCCAUCAUUGAACACAAAAUGAGGCCACAUUGCAUCCAGAGGAAAUCAGUCAGAUGAUCAGAAUAAACUCACACUACAAUCAGGUUUACAUAUUAUCAAUAUGAUGCCAAUUUAGGCCAUAUUAAGUAAACAAUUAAAAUUUUGCAUUGCAUGUUCCAUGUAUGAUCGAACCCACUAGAAACCACUCACUCCAACAAGCUGCAAUACGCACACAUUCAACCAAAGAAUUGAUCUUCAAAUUUAACUCCCAAAAAAAAAGCACAGCUCGCCAUUCAGAGAAUAAAAUCCUACAGCAGAAAUAGAUGGUUGAAGGGUUUAACAAGUUCCAUUCAUGCAAACAACAAAAAUAAAAAUAAUAAUAACAGCCAACUUGUAUGCAUAAAAACCGACAACCCAAAUGAAGAAACCCUAACAAAAAUAAAACUACCGAAAUCAAUCAACAGAACCAGCAAUUCCAAAAUCGGUGCUAAGUCAUAAAUAUCUCUCUAAUUUCUAUAAUUAACAUUUAAAAAACCUAAAAAAUUUAUAUUUUUGUUACCAGCGCAAGUCUUCUCCUUCAUGAGCUUGUAUAUAAGGACACUGAUCCCGAGAGAGUGCACAGCUUCGGCAGCGACGAAGAGAUUGUCAUGAUCAUGUACAAUGAAUCUGAGCAAGACGAGAGCAGCCAUCCCAGACACAACCGCCAAAAAAGCCUUGACCUUGGGCGGCUGUCGUCGCACCCAUGUCGUGACAGCGUGGAUCGGCCUUUUAUGCGGCCUCAUCGGAGAAGCUGAUUGGUUUCACCGGAAAAGAUAAAAGUUGAGGGAAAAGAGGGUUGAAUUUAUAUGUAGAAGAAGCGAGGAAGAGAAUCUCUUAUUGGGUCGUGUGAAUUGUUUAUUAAUUUAAGACAAUAGAUUGCUUUGAGAUGAAAUGCCGUAGACCGAGGGUUUAGGGCGGGUUCGAUGGGUUAAACGUGUCCGGAUAAGAAAGCCAUGAUUUUCUUCUCUUUUUUUUUNNNNNNNNNNNNNNNNNNNNNNNNNNNNNNNNNNNNNUCGAGGUUGUUUAGGAUUGUUUUGUUUAGUUUUUUGCUGCUUGAAACCUAAUUUCUAGAAAUUAACAUAUUUGAUAAGUUUUUAAGAUAUUUGAUAGGUAAUUAAUAUUUGAUCGUUAUCAACUCUAUUUUGGAUAAACUUUACAAUUGAAAUGUUUUUCCAUCAGCUCAUAGUUUUUUAUUUUAUUUUUUAUUUAUAAUAUAUUUCUCUUUUAAAUUUAUUGAUUAUAAUUUUUUAAAUUAUUUUUUGUUACUAUAUAAAUUACUUAAAAUUAUAAUACAUAAUAAAUAAGUUAAAGCUACUAUAUAUACUAAUUAAAUUAUUUAUAAUAUUUAUUAUUUUUUUAAACUUAUAAUUUGGAUAUACAUAGAAAAUAAUUAUAUUUUAAAAUUUAUUUUAUAUAUUAGUUAUUUUAUAUACAAAAAGCUACAGUGACUGUCAAACAUUUAAGUUAUAUCAAACAAUUAAUUUUAAUUUUUAUAUAUUAAACUUAACUAUAUCCUAAUGCAAAUAAAACUUAUGAUAAAAAAAAAAAGUAUGGUUUUUAUGUGUGUGCACAGUUUUUGACUAUAUAUAAAAAUUAAACAAUUUUUAACAUAUAACUGUUUUUAUGUGUGUACACAAAUUUUUACUCUCUUAUAACUAAUUAAAAGUAUAAUUUAAAAUAUAAAAUUGAUUUUUAAAAGAUUUAUCAAAUAAUUUAAUUAAACUGUUUAGAUGCUUAUUAACAAUAAUUGUACUUAAUAGCUAAAUUAAAUAUUUUUAAAAAUAUUAAUAUAUAUAUAUAAUUUAAAUAUUGAAUAUAAUUAUUUUUUAUUUUACGUUUAUCUCAGUUAAACAUAAUAAUUUACUUUUACAAUUUACUAUAAUCUAUUUUAUCAUUUAAUUUUAUCCCACUUAUUAUACAACUUUUCUACUGAUAGAUUAAUGGAAGGAGAUUAUUCAGAAUGGGAUAAAAGAAUUUUCUGUUGUAAUUUAACUGAUUUAAUUUUUUUUCUUAAUCAUUAUACAAUAACUUUAAAUGAUAAAUACAUGUGGAUGGAGAGAGCAUUAAGAUUACUAUUAAAAUAAAUAUUUAAUUAUCUAUUUAUCAUAUCAUAUUUAUUUCAUUAUUAAAUAAAUAAAUAAAAAUUAAAUUAAAUUAAUUUUAAAUAAAAAUUAAUUUAAUUGAAUUAGUCUGAUUUAAUUCAAUUUAAUUUAAUUAAACUUUUUAGUGGAAUUUUUAUUCUUUAGACUUUAUUUUUAAUAUUUAAAAAUUUAAUUAAAAUAUUUGAAUUAUAGUAUAAUUUCUUUAUAUUAUCAAAAAUAAUAAUAUAUUAUUAUUAUUAGUCGAUUUGAUUUUUUUUAUUAAAAUCGAAUUAAAUUAAAAUAAUUAAAAUUUUUAAAAUUAAAAAUUAAUUAUAAAUAAAAAAUUAAAAUUAAAAUUUUAAAUUAAUUUAAUUCAAUUAAUUUUUUUAAUUUGAACUACAUAUUCCUAAAGUUAAUCUUUAACUAAUAGUAUUUAGUUUACUAAAUAGGUUUUGAGUAUUUGUUCGAUUUAAAUUUUUAUCAGUUACUCCAAGACCCUAACUCAAUAUUCCAUAGUCAACAUAAUAAUCCAGAAUAAAUUUAACUUCUAAAUGAAAUUUUAAAAAAAAAAAAAGAGUUAGUUAGUAUUUUAAUUUUUUAAUUGAUAUUAGCCUUUUAUAUUUUUAUUGAAACAUUUAAUUAUUAAACUUUGUAAAAUAUCAUUAAUAAAGUUUUGAACUUUACGACGUAAAACUAUUAAAUUUCUAAAUUUCAAACGAGUGUAAUGAAGCAUCAUAUUUAUAUAAUUUAUAUUUUAUACAUAGAUUAAAUAGUUAUAUUUUAUUUAAAUAUUUUUUCUUUUAAUUUUUAUUUAUUUUAUUUUUAUAUAUAAUAAAAAAUAAUUUUUUAUUAAUUAUUUUAAUUAUUUAUUUUAAAAAUAUUAAAUUUUAUUAAAAAUUAAAAGAUAUUUUUAAAAAAAUUUAAAAAUAAAAUAAAAUUAUAAUACUCGAUUUAUAUGUUCUCGUGGAAGAAAGUAAAUAAUAAUUUUAGAAAAAAAAUUUAAAAAAUUACAUAAGCGUGAAACCUAUUUUUCACAAUUUAAAAAGGCCUAUGUUUUAUGCGAUUAAUAUACACCCACAGUCUUAAAAUAAUCGUGAUUAAUCUAUUAAAUAUCUAAAUUAAAAUUAUAAUUUAUUUAACAUUUAUAAUUAUAAAAGUUAUAAUAAUUAAAUAUAAAUUAAUUAUAUCAUUAAUAAUUUAUUUAAAAAAAAUACAAACUGAUAUUUUUAUAAAAAAAUGCAAAUCGAACACAUAUAUUAUUGUAAAUUUUAUUGACUGUGCUUUAAAGUUUUAUAAAUUUUUAUAAAUUUAUAAAUUUUGAUGAGUCUAGUUUUAUCAAAUUUAUAAACAUAUACAAUAUAAUUAGUAAAAUUGAUAAUAAAGUUAGUAAUCAGUUGAAGUAUUUUGACUUUUUUUUUUAUAAUUUAUCAAUAGUAUUAUGAAUUUAUAUUUAAUUGGUAUGAAUUUUAUAAAUUUAGGUGUUUAAUAGGUUAUAAUUAUAAUUCAAGUAUUUGAUGGGUUAAUUUCAAAUAUUAUAAGGUAUAAAUUUGUAUUCCACGAAUAUUAAAAUUUAAUACUUAAUUUGGAAAAAUUAUUAAAUAAGCAUGGAAUAUUGUUUUAUCAAGUUGAGAUAGUAUAUCCUACUAAUAAAAGUAAAAUGCAUAAAUAAUUUUACUAGAAAAUAAAAAUUUAAUAACUUAGAAAUUUAUUUUAAACCAUCUAUGUAAAACGUAAAUAUUUAGUAGUGGUGUAGAUUUUAAAUAUUUAUUUUAAAGUAUAGGAUGAUUUGUUAUAUUAUUAUUGGCUGGAUAUAUCAUAUCAGCGUAAUAAGAGAUAUGGUAUUCUGGAAAUAUAUAAUAAUUGCUCAUCGGUGGAGAAGUUAGGAUCAUUAUAUGGUUGAUAAUUUACCACCUUAAAUUUUUUUUUGAAUUGGACUUUACAACCUUAAAUUUUAAAAUUAAUAUAGAGACCCACUCAUAUAGUUAUAGUUUUUCUUCUUAGGAUAUGAUUAAAUAAGAAGAAAAGAAGGAGGAAAAAAAAUAACCAAUGGAAAAUAAGUUUAAUAAAACACUUUCCCUUGUUCAGUUAAUGGAAAGAAAAUAAUGGAAGAAGGAAAAUUUUGUACUAUUUUCUUUGAGUAUUGUCUUUCCAAAUCUAAGAGAAAAGUGAACUGUUUGGGAAAGAUGCACAUUUAUAUGUAAAAUUACAUAUAUGUCCUGUAAAGAUGCUGUAGCUAAAAAUCUUAGAUAUUUGUUAAGAUGUUUUUGUGUUUUAUUUCUUUAUAUUUAUAGGACUUGUUUGUAAUUUUAUAUUAUUUCUCUUUUUUGUCACUAUUUGGUAUGUUUAUAAACUUAUAGAGACCGCUUAUAAAGAAGCAGUAAAGAGAAAAGGAGUUUGGUGAUCGAUAAGUCGAAAAUGACGACACAAGCACUUGGAGAUCCCCUCACCUUAUAAUCAUCGGAUCAUCUAGAUAUGGUUCUCAUCUCUGCUCCUUUAAUAGGGACCAACUUUAUAUCAUGGUAUAAAGCUAUUAGAAUAGCAUUAGAAGUCAAGGAGAAGUUAGGUUUCAUAGAAGGUACAUUUUUAUACCAGAUAGGAACUCCAAACAUUAUGAGCUAUGGAGAAAAUGUGAUUAUAUAGUCACAUCUUGUAUAUUGAACUCAAUAUCCAAGUAUCUAGUGGAUGGCUUCAUCUACAUUGCUUUGACUCGUGAGCUUUGGCUCAAAAUCACUGAAAGAUUCGGGGAAUGUAAUGGGACAAUGAUAUAUCAAUUACAUAGGAAAAUCUCUUUAAUUAUUCAAGAUAAUGUCUCUGUUUCAGUCUAUUUUACAAGACUCAAGAGACUACGGGACGAGUUAGGGCCUAUGGAGACUCUGCCUUUCUGUACUUGUGGUACAUCAAAGGCUAUUGAUGAGAUUAACAAUAAAAACAAGCUUAUGCAGUUUCUUACAAGUCUAAACGAGCUUAUGGCCCUAUAACGGAUCAAGUCCUUGUAAUGGACCCCCUGCCUUCUGUGAACAAGGCAUAUUCCAUGGUACUCAAAUUUGAGUCUCAAAAGGAAGUUUUAAGAAACAUGAGCAGUAGCAUGGAUUCUCUAAUCCUAUUUAAUAAAGCACAAGGACAAUUUCCAGGAAAACAAAAGAAGCUUGAGUCCUUUUAAAGACACUACUCUUACUGUGACAUGGAUGGCCACGUUAGAGAGAGUUGCUUUAAACUAAUAAGGUACCCUGACUGGUAUAAGCCCAAAAAUAAGGCUGGAGGUCAGUCUUCUAGACAAGAUAGGAGCACAAAGAAUAGAGAUAAGAUAGUGGCAGCUGUUGAAGGAUCAUAUUAUGAAGAGGACAAUCAUCUUGAAACAUCAGAUGCCACCAUGAAGAUUGAUGAGCUAAGUUCCAUGCUCAAUUCACUACAACAGGAAGUUACAAAGUUAACCAAAGGCAAGGCAGUACUUACAGCUAGUACCAAAGUAUCAUAUUGUUAUCGUGACAGUACUUCUAACCAAGCCUCAUGGACUUCACAAGUACUUUUAAAUUGAAAACUAUUUAUUAUGCAUCUAUUUGUGUUAAUGUUGGUUGGAUAUUAGAUACUGGAGCUACUGACUACAUUUCAUCUAAUAAAUCUUUGUUUAAAUCACUGCAAUUACUUGAUAAACUGUCUUUGUACAUCUCCCUAAUAGCAUCACCCUUAAGGUCAUCCAUAGAGGAUCAAUGUUCUCUUUAUACUAAAAUUUCAUUACAAUAUUAUCUUGGUUAGUAAAUUGAUCCAUACCUCUUCUCUAAAUAUGAUCUUUUGCUCUAAUUGUGUAUAAUACAUGACCUUCUGAUUAAGAGAGUAGUUGCUGUAGGAAAGGACGAAGCAGGUCUAUACAAACUGAAUCAGUUAAGCUUUUUGUCUUUUGAAAUUGAAAAUUGCUUAAUUCAAGUAGUUCAUUUGAUACCUGAUUUACAUUCAUUUGUAAAUAUCAUGCUUUUUAAGACUUGCAUUAAUAAAGAAAGCCUUUCUAAUAUAUCUAAUAUCUGUAUGCAUGUUAAUCUUCAUGAUAGACUAGGACAUACUUCCUUUAGUAAACUCAAACAUAACAAGGCAUCCAACUCAUUGGAAACAGAGACUUCGAACACCAUAUUUGUCCUUAGGCCAAACAAACAAGGUUGCCAACAACACAAUUGCUAAAAGGCCCUUUGAUCUUGUUCAUAUAGAUAUUUGGGGACCUUAUAGAGAAGAAUCUGUCACUGGGGCUAAGUAUUUCCUCACAAUAGUGGAUGGUUGUACUAGAACUACCUGGACUUUUAUGAUGGCCCUCAAAGGGCAAACUGUUAAUAGUAUAUCUGUCUUUCUUAAAAUGAUCAAGAAUCAAUUUGGUGCUAGAGUCAAAACCAUCAAAACUGAUAAUGGCUGUGAAUUUCUCAGCCAUGAUUGCUCUAAACUGUUUAAGGAUAGGGGCAUUGUUCAUUAGAGAACAUACACCUAUACUCCACAAUAGAAUGGUAUCGUAGAGAGGAAACAUACACAUUUUAGAUACUGCAAGUGCUCUUAAGUUUUAAUCUCACAUACCAAAAAGAUUCCAGUUUGAAUGUAUUCUUACUACUACUUACUUGAUCAAUAGGUUAUAUAUGGAAAAUUUGGGAUGGUUGAGUCCUUAUAAGAAACUAUUCAAAAGACCUCCUAGUUAUUCUCACUUAAAAGAGUUUGAUUGCCUCUAUUUUGCAACAAAACUAGGUACCAAUGAAGACAAGUUUGACAGCAGAUCCAUCAAAGCUGUCUUUCUUAGAUAUGCUAAUAACCAUAAAGCAUACAAACUUUAUAAUCUAGCUGAUAACACUAUCUUUAUCAGUAGAGAUGUGAGAGUUUAUAAAAAUGUCUUUUCUUUUCAAAAUAUUCAAGAUGAGCAUAAAGUUGUUUCACCUCUUCCUGCUUUAAACAUAGAUUACUCUUCUGUGUCACCUUUUGAUAGCCAACCCACACACACUCAGCCUCACAGUAUUCUCAGGAAAUCUACUAGAAUAAUUAAACAACCCAAUCGGCUUGCUGAUUUUGUCAGUAAUACGGUAACUACUAAUCUUCCUCAUUCACCCACAAUCUACUUUACUUCUGCACAUUCUUGCUUUGUCUCCAAUGUUAUGCCCAAGCAUCUAAAAAUGCAAAAUGGAUAGUUAUAAUGCACCUUGAGUUAAUGGAUGUAGAACAAAACAACAGUUGGGUGCUCGCAAAGCUGCGUAAAGGAAAAAUGGCCAUCGGUUGUAAAUGGAUAUAUAAAGUGAAAUGCAAACCUAAUGGAGAAAUUGAAAGGCUUAAAGCCCAUUUGGUGGCCAAAAGCUAUAAUCAAAUAGAAGGUCUUGAUCAUAAAGAUAGAUUUUCUCAUGUUGUUAAACUAUCUACUAUUAGAAUUUUAAAUGCCUUAGCCACUAACAAACAGUGGCCCAUCUUUCAACUUGAUGUAAACAAUGCCUUCUUACAUGGCCAUUUGGAUGAGAAAGUCUAUAUGGUACCUCCUUAGGGAUAUGACAAGGCCUUGCUAGGAUAAGUCUAUCUCUUGAAGAGGUCCCUAUAUGGGUUUAAACAGGCUUCCCAAUAGUGGAACAUUAAAUUUUUAGGAUAUUUCAGAACUCUAGGUUUUAACUAGUUCUCUUAUGAUCACUGACUCUUCAUAAAACAUACAGAUGACUAUUUUUUAGCCCUUCUGAUUUAUGUGGAUGACAUUAUAUUACCAGUACUUCUGUUGAUACUAUCACUAGUAUUAAGAAUAUUUUACAUUUUCAAUUCACUAUUAAAGAUUUAUGCCUCCUUAAGUAUUUUUAAGGACUUGAGGUAGCCAAAUCAUGUAUCGCUACUGUGCUUAAUCAAAGCAAGUUUAUUUCUAAUAUUUUGAAAGAUACUGGUAUGAUGGACUAUAAACCUUCUUCUUUUCCUUUGCCCAAAGGUUUACACUUGUCUCCAGACACUGGAAAUCCCCUUAUAGAGCCUCUGGUAUACAGGAGCCUAAUUGGGAGGCUUCUCUAUGUUAACUUGAUCAGACUAUACAUCAGUUAUGCUGUACAGCAUUUUAGUCAAUUCAUGACUAUUCCUAUAUCUCAAGGAAACCAUACAUCGGGGUUUAUAUUUUCCUUUCUCUGAAAAAUUUCAUCUCUCUGUAUAUUAUUAUUGUGACUAGGUUUCUUACUCUUUUACCAGAAAGUCUUUAACAGUUUUUUGCAUAUUUUUUGGUAAUUCUCUUAUUUCUUGGAAGACAAAGAAACAAAAUAUUGUUUCGAGGUCUUCUGUAAAAACAUAGUAUAGGGCCAUAACUAGUACUUCUUGUGAACUUUUUUAGAUUACUUAUAUUCUUCGAGAUCUGCAGGUUUCCAUUCAAUUACCUAUUCCUCUUUACUGUGAUAACAAGGUAGCCCUCCACAUAGCGGCCAAUCCUGUUUUUCAUGAAAGAGCUAAAUAUAUUGCCAUUGAUUGGUAUCUUGUGAAGGAACAAUUUCAAUUGGGAUUUAUCCAUCCUUCUCAUAUGUCCUCUCAGGAACAGCCUACAGACAUCUUCACUAAGCCUUUGUUUGCCAAGCAUCAUCAUCAACUUGCUUCCAAGUUGAACCUGUUUUCCAUACAAUUCCAACUUGAUGGGGGUGUAAAGAUGUUGUAGCUAAAGAUGUUUGAUAUUUGUUAAGAUUCUCUAUGUUUUAUUUCUUUGUAUUUGUAGGACUUAUUUGUAAUUUUAAUUUCUUUUUUGUCCAUGUUUAGCAUGCUUAUAAACUUAUAGGAAUUGUUUAGUUUUUUAUCCUCAGCCUUAUAUAAAGGGCUUUUGACCGUUGUACAUACUACUUUUUUAUUUUGUCUUGAGAUAAUACAAUCAUCGGGCGAUAUUUUUUCUCUCGGUGCUUUUUUUCUCUCGGUGCUUCUUUUCAAGUCCCUUUUGUUUUAUUUUCAUUUUGAAUUAUCAUAUUUACUAUUUUAGAAUAUUUUUCUUUUCCUUUUCAUAUGCCAUGGGAGAUUUUGGAGAGAUUUUAGCUAGAUCCUACACUUCAUAUGCAUGCUUUAUCAUGUAUUUCUUUUUCAUUUUUCUCUCUUUUUUUUUUUUUUUGGUCGAAGGUGGGAUUAUCAUUAAACAAACUCAAGGAGGCAUAAAGUUAAAACAAAGUCACUAUGAGCUGUCGGAUUACGUAUAAAAUUUGAAUUUUGUAUAGCUCUUGUAGCAAAAAAAUGAGCAGCUUCAUUUUCAGAUCUCCUAACAUGAAUAGACGAGCAAAAAAUAAAAAAGGAGGUGAGGGAGAGAAUAUCCUUAAUCAACUCAUAAACAACAGUGGGAAUAUUGUGACCAGUAAGAGCUCGAAUCACUAUCAAAGAAUCAUAUUCAAUCAUAAUAUUCUAGAAAUCAUGAUUUCUUGCCAAUAAAGCCACCUCUCUAUACACUAGGACUUCCAAAACUAGCAGAUCCAAAAUACAUUGAAAUUAUUUGCAGUGCCACGCUAAGAAGGAGCAUGUAUGAUUUCUAGCUAAUACUCCUGAGAAAUCAAAAUCUUUUUUGAUAAAUACAGCCACAUUAAAAAUAACUUUGAUAAAAUCAAAAUUGGGAGGAAUCCAUGCAUUUUCAUAGUGUAAUACUCUAGUUAGAGGAGGAGAUCCUUAGGAUUUUGUUUCUAUGGUUGAGGAAAAAUCUUCAAAAUAGUUCAAUGUCAAAUUCUGAAAAUCUUCAUGAGAGUCCCGAAAAAUAAGAGCAUUAUAAUCUUUCCAAAGUAGCCACAAAAGAAAAAUAAUCAGUUGAAUCAUAAAUAAAAGUUUUUUUAUGUAUAUAUUUAAUAAUUUGGGCAGUCAUAUAGUUAAAUAUAAUGUAAUACAUUAAGGGUAUAUUUGCAUUUUUAGUUAUUUUCUUUCCAUUCAUUCCAUUCCCAAACAAGGAAAAAUAAUUUUAUUUUUCUUUUUUAUUAUUUUUUACCUUUCCAAACAUAAAGAAAAAAAAGAAAAAAAAAAUUUAUUUUCCUCUUUUAUUUUCCUUCCCCUCUCAUAAUUUACCAAAAUAAAAUGUUAAUGAUUAAGAUCCCAUUUUAAAUUGUAUUUUUUAAAAUAUAUUAUAAUUUAAAAACUAAUGCUUGGCAAGUAUAUAUAUAUAUAUAUAUAUAUAUAUAUAUAUAUAUCUAUAUAUAUUUAAUAUAAGCAUAGGAUGUGAUUCAAAUAAAAAAAAAGUUGAAAAGUUUUGCAAUUUCUAAAAAUAAUAAAAAAUGCUCUUUUUUUAAAAAUGAAAAUAGAUAAGUAAAAGAAAUAAAAUAUAACUAAAAAAUAUAUAAAAAAAUAAUUUUGAUAGAUUUUUUUUUUCCUUUCUGCCCAUGCUCAAUAAGAGUCCUAUCUUCCUUACCGUUUCUUAUGUAUGUGUAUUGAAUAAUUUCACCUAUUUGUUGCUCUCCUUUUUGUUUUUUUUCUUGCUCAUCCAAUUCCAUCUUUGAGUCACUCCUCUUUUGCUUAUCAAGUCCCAAGCGUGUUAUCCUCUCUCAAUUUUUCUCUAAUCACAUCCCUUACUCGUUUUCAUUUUUAUCUACAGAAAUCAAUGUCACCGGUAUUAUUGUUCUUUGCCCAAUCAACUUGAGUUUCUUCAAAAAAGCAACUCUUAUUGAUUUCUUUGGCAGAUAAGACUGGUUUUAUUAAGUUUUGAAGAGUGCAGUUAAAUGGGUACUAGUGAAGUAAUUUCCUCUUAUUUUAUCAUAUGGGUCUUUCAACACUCAUUCUUGAGUAAAGAGUAUGAAAAUAGAAGAAAAGAGGUCAGAAAUCUACUAGGGCUGCCUCCGAUGAAGACCCUCCACCGAUGUUCAAGUUACACUAAGACACUAGAGAAUAGGGGCUUAUUUCAUAAAAUUUGCAGGGAAGAAGAAGAAGAAGAGAAAAAAGAGAAAAAAAAAAAGAAGAAGGAAAGGGAGAGGUCCCUUAUCAAGAUCUGCUGGACCAAACAAAAAGGGAGUCCAUAUAUCUUACCUAUCACACAUUAUGGGGAGAUGGAAGAAUAUGCUUUAGUAUAUUCUUUGAUAGAACUUAAAUUUUAAUUAAAACUAAUUUUAUAAUUUUGUAUAUUAUCAAGUACUAUUAAAUCAUUCAUUUGUGGUUAAAUUUAAAAAAGGUUUACUAUUUAAUUUUUGAAUAUUGUCAUUAUUAACAAGUCAGUUUCUACAUUUUUAGAAAACUAUUAAAAUGUCCUUAUCUUUUCUCUCUAUCAACAAAAUAGUCUUUUUGUCUUUUUUCCAUUAAAAAUAGAUGAAAAAUGAAAGAGAAAAUUUUUAAAACUCAAUUUUGUCCUUAAUAAACCCCCUUAUUUAAUCCCUAGGUAUGUCAUUAUUAACAAGUCAGUCCCUACGUUUUCAAAAAUCUAUUAAAACAUUAUUAUCUUUUCUUUUCAUUAACGAGAUAGUCCAUCCUCCUCCUCCUUAAAGAAUAAGAAUAAGAAGAAAAAGAAGAAGAAGAAUGGGUAAUUUGCUCUUUUGCUAUAUUUUUCAUGGUAGAAAUAGACGGAAUUGGAUAGAAGGACUAUUUUGUUAACGGAGAGAAAAGAUAAAAACAUUUUAAUAGGUUUCUCAAAGUUGAGGGACUGACUUGUUAAUAAUAGCAAUACCCAAGGACUAAUUAGUAAUUUUUAUUAAAUUUAAUUAAAAGAAUUAUAGAAAAAUUAUUUUUUAGUCCCAGAAGUAUAGUAUAAUUAACAGGUCUGUCCCUCUUUUUAGAACUCAACACUUUCGUCCCUAAAAUUUAAUUUCGUCAAAAUCCAAAAUUUCUCCAUAAAAAAUUUCUGUUAAGUAAAUGAUUUACGCCUGAAAUUUAAUUUCGUCAAAAUCUAAGAUUUCCCAAUAAAAAAUUUCUAUUAUGCAAAUGAUUUACACUUGGUUAAAAGAAAGAGAUUAAAUAUAAUUUUAAAAAUAUCCUAUCAAUAAUAAAAUGAAAAAAUUACUAUUUAGUCCCUAUGGUAUGAAAAAACUCACUAGUUAGUCCCUCGAUUUUAAAAAAUACAUUAAAACAUCCCUUUUAAAAAGUCUACUAGUUAGUCCCUCCAUUAAUUUCAUCGUUAAAUAUUUUACUGUUUAGUCCCUAUAGUUAUCCUCAAAUUAUUAAAGUUUAUUAAUUAGUUCCUUUGUAUCAUGGGUAUUUUUAGAUUUUUUUUAUAAUACAUAACAAUUAAAAUUAAUAGAAAGAUUUACUAGUAGACUUUAAAAUAUCAGAGACGUUUUAAUACAUUUUUCAAAACCGAGGAACCAACUAGUGAGUUUCACCAUACUAUAAGAUCUAAGUAGUAAUUUUCCCUGAUAAAAAUUCCUUCUACCCUUCAGCUUCUUAAAUUUCUUUCAUCUACUUUCCACACCCUCUUCAUUAUUCAUAUCUAACUCAUACCUAAAACUACAAAAUUUGUAUGUUAAAAAUGCAUUUUGUAGUAAUUGAAAAGGAGACAGAGGAUCGACCAGUGACAUGAGUGAUCAACGAUGCAAACAACAAGUGACGUGAGUGGUCGGAGACAUAAACAGUGAGGAGCGAGUAAUGCAAGGGGAUGGAGAUGAGAGCAGUGAUAACAUGAGGGGUUGGAGAUGCAAGCAGCGAGCGACAUUAGUUGUUGGAGAUGUGAUUAAUGAGCGAUGCCAAUGGCUAAAGGCAUGAGCAAGUGACGCGAGUUGUUGGAGAUGCGAUCAGCAGCGAUGCGAGUAGCCAAAGAUGCAAGGAGUGAGUGAUGCGAACGGGAGGCGCAUUGAGUGGCAAGCAUUCCCAACUAGUGACUCAAGCAGCAGGCAACUAGAGUAGUGAAUGCAAGCAGAGAUCGCCAGCAAGCGAUAUUAUAAAAGCAACUUCUAUUGAGUUUUAUUUUUUUUAUUUUUAAUAAUUGAAAUUUUACAAAGUUAAGAGUUUGAAACAAAGUUAAGAGUUUGAAACAAAGUAAACUUAUGUAAAUUUUGAUAGAAAGUUUAGGAGUUGAUUUGGAUUUUUUUAUUUAAAAAAAAAGGUAGUAGCAAUCAGUGGACUUGAAAAGGAAAGGCUGAUAAAAGAAGAAAAUAAGUAAAAGGAGACGAAUUAAAAAGGAAGAAAUAGGAAAGAAAUGUCAAAAUUUAAAUAAAAUGGUGGGAAGGGGGGCCUUAAGUUAGUCAAAAUAAUGUAAGAAAAAUGAAUUAAACGAGCAAAACGAUUGUUGGAGCUGAUAGGUAAUACUGAUAGUUCAUAAUUGAUUCUACAUUGGCUAAACCUACAAAAGAGAACGUGAGGUGGUGGGUGUUCACGGUAGCCACUUAAACGCUCAAAUUAGUAAACUGAAGAAGGGUUAAUGUAAAACUUGAGAGUAGUUGUGUAAGAGAAUUGUAUACGUUGAUCUCUACGAUUAUUUUCCUUUUAUAUUGUAUGAGAAUGUAGGUAAAUAUAGCAUCCCCUGAUGAUCUAGCAAUGAUGUGGCCGGCUAACCUGAUGAGGGAUCCUGCUAGGUUAACUUGUUAGAGAUUUCGUGAUUACAAGCAUAACAGAUGCACGAUCUAACAAUAACUUUAUGCUAAGACUCUUCCUAUUUAGGGAAAGGUGAGUCUUGAUGAUAAAUCGAGUGUUAAGGUAUCCGAGUAUUCCUUUUCUCGGUGAGACCGCAUUACCCACUUAUUAGAUCCUUACCAUGUGAUCCUGUCUUGUGGUGACAGCUCAUAACUCACUUUGGACAAUUAUUUUAUAACAUCAGAGGUCCCUCGCUGGUCUUCGAUUCUUCAGAUUCGAAGGUAACAGUUGUUCUCACAAUUUAGGGCACAUGGCUUAUUGAUAUUGGUUUUUCCAUGACUCAUGUCGCUUUGCUUGCCUAGCUUUUCAAUGAUAGCUGCUCCAUUUCUCGAACCGCAUUUAAAGCCUGCCAUUAAAACCAUCUUAUAAGAAUCCUUCUUCUUCUCCAAAUAUCACUUUUGCUCUCAAUUGUAAUCUUUACUUUCAAAAAGACUCGGUUGCUUCUUCUUUCCUAAUUAUACUCCUUUACUUUCACGGUGAUUUCUGUUUUCUUUUUCCCUUCUAUGAUGAAUAGGAAUACUUCCUCUUUUUUUCUUACUCCUGUUGGAGGUUUCACCUCCAGCUCCUCCUUUGACGGCCCCAUCCAUGCCCCCACUCCUAUUGGUCCACUGAGAGCUGCUCAAGAGACCGAAGGCAUCCUAAUUAAUGCCAUUCCGUCCAUCCUAUCAGAGCAAGAUAUAGGUCGCCUUCAUGAUAAAUAGGAGAUGUCUUGAGAAACUUUUCAUGUCUUUACCCCUUCCUUAAACGUUCAUGUUAAUGACCAGAUCCCUACAGAGAAUACUAUUAUAGUCUUCGAGGAGCAGCUGAAGGUGGGUCUUCGGUUCCCUAUAGACCUAUUUUUUAUUGAGGUCCUUUGGUUCCAUAAGCUUUCGGUCACCCAGUUGUAUCCUAAUAGCUGGAGAAUCUUGGUGGCCUUUCGAUUUGUUUGUCUUAAUAAUAACAUUGAAUCAAGCGUAGCCCUCUUCCUCUAGUUGUACUAGUUGGGUACCCACAAAAAUGAGGAGUUCUGAUUUUUUAGCGGGUGAAAAUGCCAAACGAUAUUCGACCAGAUACCUUCUUCAUUAAAGCGGUGGAAAAACAAGUUUUUUGUGAUAAAGUGAUGUUCGAAGGUUUUGGAUCCCUCCAAACGAGCUGUAACCUAUGGGUGGAACUGAGGAAGGAUGGGGUCCAACCGAGGAGGGAUGAGGAUGAGCGUUUAGCCUUUCUCUUGAUGAUGCCUAAGUCCCCAAAGAACAUGGACAUCACCCAGGUGGUGAGGAACACCGUUUUAUCUUAGAAAAGUCAUUUCUAGGUCAGCCAGGCUUAGGGUCCUUACCCGCCCUGUCUUCCCAACCUUGGGAUUAGCACUUCCCUAGCUAGAUAUCAGGUUACUCUUCUUUCUGCCUUCUUUUAGAUUUCAAAUUGCCUUACUUACUUUUCAAUUUGUGCAAAUAUGGUUGAAUUAAGAAGUAAAUUUGCUGAAGCAGCGCAUAUUGCCUGCAAAGACAAAGCAGUUGCUGGGACAACCGGUCCCCUUCCCAAGCAUGCUCUCCGGGUAGAAAAAGUCAUGCUUCCUCCUUCUCCCUCAACCUAUAAUAAAAAAGUCAGCUCCCUCAUAGCCUGAGUCUUUUGCCAUCGGUGCCUCUGCAUCUGCCCCAUAUUUCAAGCCUUCUACUGCCAUCCUCGCCUGCGAAUGUGGGGGUUAAUUCCUCAUGGCCUCCUAGCAUCCAGCGCCUGGCAUUAGGGCUAACUUGAACGCCUUCUCUUCUUGAGGAUCCUAACUUGGUCGUCCUGUUAACCAAGAAUGCCCUGAGGCUUGAGGAUCGUCGCCGCCUGAACGGGCUCCAGACAGAUGAGCUUUUUGACAAUAUUAUGCACUCAUGCCUAUGUGGCCAAAGAGCAUAAUGAAGUCCUGAGGCAGGAGUUUGGAGCUCAAGAAACAGAUAGGAGACUCUUGGCAGAAGAAUGCUCGAGGCUAAAAACUCGGGUCGAUAAAGUGGAAGUCACUAUGAAAGAGACUCUGGAGUCAGUAGAUAAGCUCCAGGCAGAUCUGGGUGAGGCCAACACUUCCCACCUUGCCCUUGAGAAACAAGCUAAAAGUGCUGAGGAUCUAGUGGUUGUGCUUCAGCGCCAAGUCCAAAGCUGCAGUCUCAUGUUGAGGAGGCCCGAAUCGCCUCCAUUAGGAUCACUGAGCUUGAAACAAAAUUUUGAGAGACGGUGGCCCAAGGUGGGGGUAUAUUCGUACAAGGCUAAGAAUCCUUCAAGAAAGAGCUUCUCAGGCGUUUCCCUGCAAAGGACUUCUCUUGGAUCGAUGAAACCUUCCCCAAUGAGGAUGGGCGGGAUAGGGAAGGCCUAAUUGAAGACAACCCUUCUAACCUAGCUUCUAAUGCAAUAGCCAAUGAUGAACCUAUAACAAAGCUCGGAUGGAGGCGACUGAUGAUAUCCUUCCUAUCCUAUAAUAAGUCUUUAUUUGAAUGAGAAAAUAUUUUAUUUUGAUAGUUUUUUAUGAUCAGUAUUCAGCCAUAAAUCUUGUCUACUCAAGGCUUAAAUGAUUUCUUUUAAAAGACUGCUAAAAGAUUAACACCCGGCCAUUAUAAUGGUGAUAAAAUAAAUAACUUGAAAACUUUUGAACAGCAGGGUUAACACUCGAAUAUAUAGCCUGGCAGAUGCUUGCCUUGGGCCUGAGAUACCUUAUAGGAUUUCUUAUAAUCUUGAGGCUAGUACUCAUCUGCGAACACCUGUCUUAUGGCUUGGGCCUCAAAUGUCUCGCAAAUUUUAUAUGAGGCUAACACCCGGUAGUUAGUUUGGCAAAAACUACGUGGUGGCUUGGCAUGGAUGCCUUGAUUAGUGGGACCAAUGCCCGAUUUUUUAGCCUAGCUUAUACUCGCCUUGUGGCCUGAGGCAUCAAAUGCUUUAGAACUUUUUAUAGGGGACUAACACUUGGUCAUUGAGAUUAGCAAAACUUGCCUCGUAGCCUAGCAUGAAUGCCUUGAUUAGUGGGAUCCAUGCCUAGUCUUGUGGCCUGGCUUAUACUUUCCUUGUGGCAUUGUUUGAUGAGACCAAUGCCCGGAUUGUGGCUUGGCGAAAUCCACCUUGUGGUCUAGCUUGGCGGAAGCCACCUUAUGGCCUUAUCGAGUGGGACUAAUGCCCGAAUUGUGGCAUGGCGAAACCUGCCUUGUGGCCUAACCUAGCGAAAGUUGCCUUGUGGCCUUAUUUAGUGGGACUGACGCCCAAAUUGUGGCCUGGUGGAAUCCGUCUUAUGACCUGGCCUAGCGGACCCUGCCUUGUAGCCUUGUUGAGUGGGAUCAAUACUCGAAUUGUAGCCUGGCGGAACUCGCCUUGUGGCUUAAUUUAGUGGGACCAGCACCCAUAUUGUGGCCUGACAGAACCCACUUGUGGCCUUGUUGAGUGGGACCAACGCCCAGAUUAUGGUCUGGCGGAACCCGCCUUGUGGCAUUUAAUGAACGCCUCUUAAUCUUCUUUGAAGAAGGCAACCCUAUCAUCCCUUGUCACUAGAGAAUAUAUGACUCGGCCAUCCAAAUUGAUCCGCCUAUAAGACCUUGAGCGAAUAACCUUCGAGACCUUAAACAGUCAUUUUCAGUCUUCACCGAGCUUACCAGAUCGGCUGUUACAUCUGUGAUUUGCUUAUUUUUUCAAAUUAUCACUAGGCCCUUUAACGAUUACAUGAAUAAUUCCCAUAGGCUCCCGGUCAGGGGUGGUUUCGAGAGACGUUGCCUCAGGUUCAGGUCUCCUCUCUUCCCUACUAUUCUUGGUGCACUUUUGAAGAGUGUUGUCCCUUAUCAGCCUCUCGAUCUUAUCUUUCAAUUGCCGACACUCAUCCAUUGUAUGACUGUUGUCUUUAUGAAAACAGCAGUACUUGAUCCUAUCUCGUCUUAAGAGAUAAAAUAAGAUGUUAUGAUCUAUUUUUCAUUAAUUAAUAGUUUAAAAUUCAAAAUUUAGAUAUAAAAGAUAAAAUAUUUUGUUUUUCUGUAUAUAAAUUUAUAUAAAAAUUAUUAUUUUAUAAAAUAACUUUAUAUUAUUUUAUUUAACAGUAAUAUUCGCAUGUAAAAUAACAGUAAUAUCCGCAUAACAUAAACGAGAACUUAUAGAAAUAUAAUUAGAAUUUUCAAUGUAAAUAAAAUAAAAAGGAAAAUAUUUUUAUUUUGCUUUGUGAAUUUUCAUCCAUUCAAACAUAUAAUAAAGGGAUCUAGCAGUUCAAAUUAUUGCAAUAGAAUAUAGCUGCCUAUUGAAAGGAUGGAGACUCCACUGAUUUUGAUAUCUAUUUUGUUUAUGGCAGCCAGAAACCAAUUACACAUAACUAUUUAUGUGAGAAAUAAUUGGACACAGUAUAAUUUAAUAUUCUAAGUUGUUAUUGGUUAUCCAAUUCAUUCAGCUUAUUUUCAAAAUUCUAAUAAUUGAAUUUAUUAAUUUUUUCUUUUUGAUUAUUUUUAUACACUUAUUUCCUCUUCUGUACUGUCAACUGGUUAGUUGUAUACCAAACAAUCAAUGCCAUGGAUGAAGUAUCACAAACACUAAAAAAUUUUAAAAUAAUUCUGUCUUUAUUAUGUACUGUUUAUCAUAUUUUAAAAUUUUUAAUUUAAAUAUAAAUAAUUGCGUGAAUUAUGAUUUCUUUUCCUAUAGCCUAAAGCCAAAUAUGCUUGUAAGACCCAACAAUCUUAAGUCCAUGAUUACAACCAUCUGAUUAUUUAACCAAUCGGCUCAACAACAAAGCCAAUAAAUCAACGAUUGAGAUACACCAACACACCAUGCCUCAUGGGCGAUAUUUGCUAUAAAUACACUAGGCCUGGAAUUUCUGAAGCCCUCUUCAAGCUUGAUAAUUUUGUAAAUAGAAAGCAUCCCACUACAAGGUAAAAAAAAAUGACCUACUACUAUUAUGGCAGAAGAAGCAACUCAAUCUUUGAUGUGUUCACUCUCAAUCCCCUGCCAUACCCAGUUCUUUUAAUCUUAGCAGUCAUAUCAAUCUUUCUCGGCAUAUCCUGGUACUUCAGCUAUGAAGAAAUUGCAGAGACUGCAGAGAUGCAAAUUAAUUGGUUGCUUUUGGCCACACCAUUAGUGUUGCUCUUCCUUGUCCGUUGGUUGUCAUCUAUGGAAAAUUCUGACAUGUUGUUUGCUAAAUCACCGUGGGAAUGGAAACGGCGAACCCACCACCGUCCACCUGAGGGGAGCUCGCCGUGGGGUGUGGCUGCUUUGAUUGUUUUGCUGCUUGUUUUGGUUCAAUUCCAGUCUGCCUUUCUUGAUAGCUGGUUUUGACGCUGUAUAUGCUCAUGAUACAUAACCUGUUUUGGUUCAUAUGAUUUCAAGAACAUGGGUUUUGUUUUGAUACUUUUAGCUGGUUGGGUAUGAUAAUUUUAUCUGAUUUCAUGUAAAAAAGAGGUUAUAGAGAGUUGGUUUUGAUUGUUAUUGUUGAAUAUGUAUUGGAGGAUGAUAUAUUAAGCUGCAUGAUUGGUGUUUGAUGCUUUGUUUGAUAUAGUUUUUUGUAAGAUUUUAUUGUAGGUGUCUUUAACUUGUUGGGCUAAUUAGUUGAAGUCUUGAUCAUCUAAAGCUAAAUUUCUUUCUUGCUGGAAAAACUUUACUCCUGUUUGGAUGCUAAGAAAAUUGAUGUAAUUUGGAUGUCGCUAUGACUUCCAGUCCAAUAGCGAUAUUCUUCUUUUCUUCUCUUGAUAUCUCUAAUAAAGACAAAUACAUAAGGCUCACAACUCUCUAAUUUCUUUUAUUCUGCUGUGAAUAUAUCUUCUCAUGGCUGUUUACUAUCAGAAACUUGAAAAAUAAUUGAAGAUUGAGCAAUAGUUCAAAAUUUUAAUUGAUUUUUGCAGCAGCUGCUGCUGAUUUUCUGGGUUUGCUUCACUGUAUCUGAGCACUAACCUUAUUUAAUUGUUUAUGACUAGUAAUUGGGGUAAAAAAACAAUUAGCACUCACUUAAGUUGCAAGAUAAUGGCCAUUAGUCAAGUUUGUCUUAUUCCUCAAAAUGAUCACAUCGUAGAAGAAAAAAAUAUAGCUUUUGGAAUGAUGAAGGUCAUGUCAAAAAAGCAUGGAUAGCAAAUAUCAUGUUAAUUUUGUGUUCACUUCAGCUUUAUGAACUUUCUGUUUAUGAUGAUCAGAUUUAGAAGGUCACCUAAGAUAGCAUUAAUUUGGAUUUGAAAUAGUUAUAUGAAUAACGAUUUCAUUACAACAAUUGAUUAUGACACUCUAUAGAGUAUUGUAUAUACAACGAUUAUAUGUAAUAAUUUUUUUAAAUAAAAGGGAAUUUCACAGCUGAACUAAAAUGGAAUUUUUUUAUAUAAAUUAAUUCUUCAUCUAAUUAUUGGGUAUUCAGAGAAAAGCCCAAAUCUUCUAUGAACUCAGAGCCAAGUUUCUUGAUGUCACUGUCCAAACCUACCUGGCUGAUAAAAAGCAAGACUGGUUCAGAAAGUUGAAGAGGGAAGAUGAUGAUGGUGGGAAAUUCUUGUGUGUUUAAUAAAUUGGGUAGCAAUUGUCCCACACAAUGUGGUCAUAGUGGAAGAGUUCUUUCAUGGUGAAAAUAGCCAUUAGCUAAUUAUUCAAUCAUCCAAACCUACCACAUGCUACGUGGUCCAAUGAAAAUGAAGCCUUGAAAACCAUUUAAAUUGAUGGUGGGGUCAACACCUAUAAUGAUCGCUUAAUUCAUUUGGCCUUAUCAAUUUGGUUGCUUGUGGGGAUAAAGCUUAAGAAAAAUCCCAUACCCUAAUGGACAUUUGAUAAUCCAAAAGUAAUCUAUAUACAUGUAAUAGAAAACCUACAUUAUGUAUUAUUUUCCAAAAUUAAAUGAAAUAUGUUUAUAUACACACUUAAUUUAUAAAUAUUUAUGUUUU
rnacentral:lncRNA from 1 species